rnacentral:lncRNA from 1 species
AAAUUCUGAAUUUUGUGAUUAGGUUAGAAUAAAAUGUUUACAUGCUUGCUUCCUUAAAGAGUUGUUAUCCUAGGGUUACAGUUACCCCCACAGUCUCUUUCCUCUAUCACUCUUAAAGCCUUAUAAUCCUAGCUCUUUAUACUAAAAAAAAGUUGCAUGAUUACCAUAAGUUUAUUUCAAAAAACUAGGAUCCAUAUAUAUUGUAUAAAAACUAAUAUACAACAUAAGAAAGAAAGGAAAAGAAAGGGUUAAUUUAAAUACUCAAACUCCAUGCUAGUGAACCAAGUUGACUAGUGGACCUGUUUGGUCUUGAUAUCUUAGAUGUUCUUUUUUUUUUUUUUUUGAUAGACAAAGAGAGAUAUCUUAGAUGUUCUUUCAUCAUUCAGGAUCUGAAGCAUAAAUCUUUUGAGGUUAAGCACCAGCUAAAGGGUCAUGUAGAGGUCUUAGUUGUUGCAGGAUGUUUUGUUGGUACAUUAUGCUAUGUAUUUUAAAGUUGAAAAUGUUGUUGCAAACAUUCUGUCCUUGGACUUUUCUUGAUUGUGUCGUAGUCUCCAUUGAAGACUCAAGGUUGUUGAGCAAUCAACUGGAAUGACAUGAUAAGUAUAGCGGGAAUGAUUUAUUUAAGGCUUAUAGUGGAUUGAAAGUUUUUAACUUGUGCAAAAAUGUUUUAAAAACUCCUUAAGUGCUCAAGAGCUAAGGAGAGUACUCAAGCGCUUUAAGGGCACUUAAGUAUUCACAACAAAGAUAUCAAUCUCCACAAUUUCAUUAUUUCCAUAUUUUAAUAAUUUUUUUUUUUUGGAAAUUCGAGUCUAAGUCCACUAAUUAUUUGUAUCCUAUAAAUACCAUGCUAAAAAUGGUUGAGUUUUUGAUGCACUUUUUGGAAAAACUUAAUUUGCCUAAAAAUCUAAUUUGUCCUCCCGUAUCCAAACUCUUAAAAACAUUUGUCUUUGCAUUCGUUGGGUUGAGAAGGAAAUCUACAUCCCCUCAGGUGCUAAGGUAAGAUCCACUGGGAGCGGACGUGGUACCAUGUUGUGGAUGUGAGGUUUAGUGUAAAUGUUGGGGAGUAAGACCUAGGGAUAGCUUUUUCUAGAUAAAUUUGUGUACUAUUCUUUUGAAUAGUUGAUUUGUAAUUAGAGGUCUCUGACUCCAUGGUUUUUACAUCCGUGUAGUCUCUAGGAGAUUGUUUUGGUGGUUUUCCAUGAAAGAAUUCUUUGUGCCUUGUGCUUUGAUUAUUCUUUCCUCUUCUUUAUAUCAAAGGAGAAAGUUAAAUAACUAAAAAUAAUUAAUUUUUGGCCUAAAAAGUUUCAAGCAUCUAUUUUCACCCCCCUCUAGUUGUUCCUUGAACAAGAUCUUUAAACUUUCAUGUUUCAACAAAAACUACCACAAGUCAUUGUGAGUAAAAAUUGAAAAAAAAAUUACCAUUUGUGCUUGGAUUACUUCUAGUUGAAAUUUUUUAUAUUAUUUACACAGUUCAGCCUUGUGAUUACUUAAAUUGGGAACGAUUUCAUCAACCCCAUAAAAUUGAAGGCCUGUAGUUCCUCAGGAAUUGGACAAUUAGAUGUUUGCUAAGCUUCUUCAAACUCAACAUAGUUUUAAACAUCUAUUCUUGCUCUUGAUGGCUUCCGGAAAUACGUACAACAUUGAACUUAUAUUUGGCAAUGGCCAUAUAAGCACCCUCUGUGAAAACAUUGCAUGGCCUCUUUUAUUGGGCUGGUCACUAUUAGUCUUCAAUUAGCUUUGGUAACCUGUUUAGUGUAUGCUUUAUUCCAUCAUUUUUGGAUCUUUAUCAUGCUUUAUUAUAAAUGUCUUGCCACGUCUUUUAAGUGGGCUUUUUAAAAAUAACACAACAUGGAUCUAUGAGGACAAUAACCCCAUAAUGUGCAUAUACCUCAUAUCAAAUUAUAGCAAUAAAAGUUACUAAAAUCUUAACUAUUUGGAGUUGGUUAUAGAUCAACUCUUUCCAUUCGGAUGGCCAUUUCAUCUAUUAAAUCAAAGGCUAUAAUGUCUAUCUCACUGCCUUGUCUCAGGUUCCUUUUUGUUUUCAACUUGUCCUCAUAGCAUUUGAACUUGAAUCAAAUAACUUCAUUGUGAAUGAGCCAAUUAUCAAUAAAACGAAUUAUAGGAAAUUGAUUACUAGCUCUUUCGUUUUCUUUUUUGGUCAGGGCUCCAUGUAAAUAAUUGAUAAUUAUAUGUUGUGUCACAAAUAAGCUGGUUGCAGUGGGACAUUGGCUCUCUUAACCAAUUUAGACUCUUCUGUUCUCUAUUGGUUCCCAUUGUUUUUCUGCCUGAAGUUUCAUUUACCAUAAGGAAAAAGAAUGGUAAAUAAUAUAGUACGAACUAAUAAAUAUGUUCACACGUUCUCUGUAAGCAUUUUCUUUUUAGUCUCUCUUUUGGUGUACGAAAAAUUGGAGCCAAGUGAGAUAAUUAGUCUCUAGCUUUCUUGAGACAAUCUGUUUUUCCAUUGCUUCAAUGCAGAACUAUGAGAUUUAAUAGGUCAUGGUUUGGAAUUAAAUAUUUGUUGUGCUCCAAAAUGAUCUUUCCUGUCAUUCUCUUUAUUUUUAAUAUGGAAGGCUUGUAAUUUAAGCAGUAUCUGUUUUCUCAAGUAGUGAUUUUCUGUGAUUGUCUAUGUGUACAGUUGUGUGUAUUAUAUGUGUAUGCGCAGGUAUGGAUGCCAAUGAAAAUACUUUGAGGGGUGUUUGGUUUUGCAAAAUGGAGUUUUUUUGGCUGUGUUUGUGUAUGUUUUUCUCUUGCUAUAAGCAUUACCGGAUAUUUUACUACAAGACAUAAGGUCCUUUUUCAGGGAGGAAAGACGGGUUAGAAAAUGGAGGAAAAUGAUUGGAAUUGGAGGGAGUGAUUGGAAGCAUUACGUUAGGAGGAAACCUAAUGUGGUUAAAAGACGUAUAAGAAAAGGAAUUCCUGAUUGUUUAAGGGGACUUGUUUGGCAGUUGAUCUCAGGAAGUCGUGACCUCUUGCUGAUGAACCCUGGAGUUUAUGAGGUAUACCUUUUUCUUAUUUUCUCAUUUCAAAAGGUAACCUUGGUUAGAUUUUUCUAGAUUUUUUUUAUAUGCUAUAUUUAUUGCUUUAUUUAUCUUCAUUGGUUACAAGUUUGAAUGCAAGUUCCAUGAAGAAAGAUCUAUUUCCACCCACCUUUCUCUCUCUCUCUCAACACACACACACACACACACAUAUAGGAGGAGAUGUAAACUGAUUAUGAGUCUAUGAUACAGAAGCUCGGCCUCUCGGCCUCAUGCUAUAAGUAGUAAGCUUUUGUUUCAAUUCGAAUUUCAGUUAUUGUUAUUGAUUGAUUUGAUGCAUAUGAAUACUACUUUGGCAUGUUUUUGUUUUGUUUUUCUUUGUACAUGAAAUAGACUCUUACCUCUUUGUUAAUGUGCUGGAACUGUUGUUGUCACUAUAAAUUAGCUUUUAAGGCAAAGCCAUUGCUCUUGGAAGUACCUGAAGCUUAAGGCAUAGGUUAGGAUCCAAGCAUUUACUGGUCAGCCAGUUGGAUGUCAUGCCAAAUCUAAACUGUACUUGAGAGCCAAGUGGAACUUAAUCUUGCUAAUUCUUGUUCUAUCAUAUGAUAUAUUUGCUGAACUCUUCUCCUUGGUCAUAUAUAAUGGCAAAGAAGGGGCAGACUGGAUAACUAGUUGGCAGUAUCGUUCCCAUUCUGGUUCCUUAUUACUAGCUUACAAGUUUGAUGAAGUUGCCUGUAUUAUAAAUAUCUGACAUAGGCUUCAAGUUAAUCAGUUUGAGCUUCCUGUUGAUUAAUGAAUUUGAUGCUUCUGGUGGUUUUAAUGAAAUAUUUUACUGCGUAGCUAAUGUAAGAACUAACUUCAUGUCUGAACUUUUAACACCUCCACCAACAGUGGUGGCUCAAUUUAGAAGAUAAAUAUGGGUAUUCAAACUAGAUGAUUGACCUCUAACAUGCAAGUUUCAUUCUCUUAUUAACUGAUAUUUGUAUUGGAUAAUGACAAUAAGCCAAAGGAACUAAAUGAAGUAGAGGUAUUGAGUCUACUUUUGUGAUUCUUUACUUAUUAUGCAAUCAAAUGACUUAAAUGCCCCUCAAGUGUAUUAAAAAAUCAUUAGUUCAGAGUUUUGGUUAUGUGACAACCAAUAACUGAAGUUGCCAGUAUGCUUCCAUCAUUGAGAGUUCUAGUCUUAGUGCCUGUUUAUUUAUUUUCUUUCUUUGGUUGAAGUCCAAAAGCCCCUACUUUCUUUUGAUUGUUGAGUUGUGGCAGUCUAGUUGGCGUAGGGAGGAACCCUUAUGCAUGUGUUUCCCACUUUGUAUGCCUUUUCUUUGGCUAAAGAGGCCUAGGAAGCAGAUGUAUGGGAAGAGCAAGGAGAGGAAGAACGUUAGAAUCUGUGUUUUGCUAGACAACUGAACAAGUGGGAGAUGGAAAGUGUGGAGUCUUUUUUCUUCAGGUUGCAAGGGGAAAUUGUGAAGAGGGGAGAGAAGGACAGGAUGGUGUGGAUGGGUUCAAGGAAUGAUUUCAUUCUGGUCAAAUAUCUUUAUUUUAUGCUGAAGUUGAGGUGCUCAUUCCUUUCCUAGAGGGCAUUUGUCUAAAGUGAAUUUUUUUGCUUGGGGAGCUUGUUGGAGAAAGGCAUUAACUUUACAUCAACUUCAAAGGAGAGGAUGGCCUUUGACAGACAAAUGUUACCCUUCUAAAAGUGGGGUGGAAUGUAUUGAUCACAUCCUUCUUCAUUGCGUUAAAGCUAGGGAGUUAUGGCACUUGCAAUUUUCUUUAUUUGGAGUCAUUUGGGUCCAUCCUCUUUCAGUUAGGGGACACUCGUAGAUUGGCAUGGCGCCUUCAUGCAGUAGAAGGUUUGGGGAGCUGCCCCUUUGUGUAUUUUUUGGACUUUGUGGAAGGAAAGUAACUGAAAAGUCUUUGAAAAUGAGGAGCAAUUGGCUAUUGAAGAGUUCUUUUGUUAAAAGUUUGUUGACAUGGGUUAGGAUGUACAUAGCAAAAGGAUCAAUGCCUUUAAUUGAUUUUGUAGAUUAGGUGGGAUCUAGAUGAGGGAGAGAGCAAUUUUUUGUUUUUUUCCUCUUCCUGGCCAUGCCUUUUAUUAUCUUUUAUAUACAACCUGUGUGCCUUGGUGUAUAGCUCUUCUUAUUGAUAUAUAUCUUCUCUUUGCUUAUCAAAAAAAUGUUGGGUGUAGCUUGAAUUGAUGAUACAGGUGGACUACAAUACUGGUUAACUUGUAUGAUGAAAACUGAUAUUUUUCGUAGAUUUCUGAUGAUCCUUUGAUAUUUGGGAGUUCCUUUCAGAUAGAUUCUCUUCAUAUUCUUAUUGUGCUGAUGAAAAAUGUACUUGUCCAGCAACUGGUAAUAUACGAGACAUCUGCUUCAGAAUUGGAUAUAAUUCGAGAUAUUUCUCGUACCUUCCCAUCACAUGUUUUCUUCCAGCAGAGACAUGGACCUGGUCAAAGGUCCCUCUACAAUGUUUUGAAGGCAUACUCUGUGUAUGACAGAGAUGUUGGAUAUGUUCAGGUUUGGAUCUCAUGUAUCUCAUCACUCUUCUAUUUACUGUUUGUAGGAUACUGAAUGACAUUGGAUUGGUAUCGUUUGAAAUGCAGGGAAUGGGAUUUUUAGCUGGCUUACUGCUUCUUUAUAUGAGUGAAGAAGAUGCAUUCUGGUUGAUGGUUGCAUUACUUAAAGGAGCUGUUCAUGCUCCAAUGGAAGGAUUAUAUUUGGUAAACUUUCUUUCUUCAGAUAAAAAUUUUUGGUAAUCUUUAUUUUUUGACUUUCGAGGAAUUUUGAUCUCACUCUAGAAGAUGAGAAGCUUAACUUGUCAGAUGUAAGUGACUAACGUUAGGCAACUAAUAGAGCUUGGAUAGUAGAAUGACUUAGGCUUCCUGUCAGCUUAGAUAGCAUGAGAUAUUUUUUUUUUUUGAGAAAAUUUUUCUAUGGUUUCUGAAAGAUAAAAACUCCCAAUAUAGUGUAAUGGUUAAAACAGCUCAUGUGUUUAAACCAAAUGGCUGGGAUAAGGCUUUGUUGAUGUGAGUUGAGUUGAAUUUAGUGUUUUGGAAGAGUGUGGAAGGAAGGAUUGUUGUCUGAAGAUCUUCUGUACCUCCCCACCUACAAUUACUGGGAAAGCCCAAUGCCACUCCUUGGGAACAAUGGAGCUUCAUAUGACCUCUCUAGUCCAGGUGCUGUAGUGUGCAUCUCCAUGACAUGUCUAUUCACUGUACCUCUCUACUAUAAAUUCUUUAACCAAUCAUAACCCUUAAGCAUGGAAGUGUGGCCUUUGGCUUCUUGUGUUCAGUUACAUUCCACGAUACUAAUUUUUGUAUUAAUAGAAAGAGUGCACAUGCUCUGUGUGGAUUUAAUUCUAGGAUGACAAGAAGUUAACUGAGAUUGGGGUUUAUUAAAUUUGAAUGGGAAGAUCAGUUACAAAUGUGGUAGGUGAUUACAUUUAUAUACUUCAUCAAAGUGAGGCCAAACAAUGGAUAGGAUUUCAAGUCAAUUGCUUCCGUAAUAUUCUAGUAGGUAUAGAUUUAUGGUUAAUAUCUUAGCAUGAUUGGUGGAUGAUAGGAUAUUCAAUAAUAUAUACCAAAAAUUAUGAAUCAUUUUAUUUAUUGUUUGGUUUUGGAUGGGAUUUCAUAUGUACAACAAAAUUAGAAAAUAAAUGUGACUGCAUGUUCCACGUCACUGCAGUUCCAAUAUAAGAAAUGGACCAGUAAGACCCUGUUGCAGUUUUAUUUUUCUGUUUUCUAGGACCUGCAAGGCUCUGUUAUACCCCAUAGACAUCUAUUGACUUCUUCUGCCCAAAUCAAAAGUUUUUUGUUUUUUUGUUUUUUUUUUUUUGCCAACAUUAAUGGAAAAUUUAGUCAACAACCUUAGUGAGAGGAUCAUACCAUGAAGAACUUGGAUCGAGUUUAGAUUAUAUUCCCCCCAAUAUUGUCUAUUUCAUCUCAAAACCCAAACUUGGACUGUAAAUUGAAGUUGUCAGAUUAGACAAAACCUAUGUCACCUAACUUGAUGAUUUACUUUUGAGAAUGCUUCUCCUGGGAUCAUAAGUCUUAUUUUGACCUUUCCUCGUGCUUCCCUAGUAUCCUUAAAAGUGAUAAGAUAAAAACUUCAACAGGAGUGAUUCAUUAAAUGCAGGUUACCAUAUUUAUCAUAAAUACAAACUGAUUUUUUCUUUUUCUUAUUCUUAUUAUAAUUUUACUGUAUUGAUUACAUAAUGAAAACUUAUGCUAGUGUUGUAUUUUGUGUGUUAAAUGCUUAUAAUUCAAAUAUAUAGUUCUUGGUUUUUGUGAGCAACAUUAGUUCCAAGUCAUUAGUAUGUUGUCUUUGCAAUUGGGAGAAUUUAUGAAGAUUCUAAAUUUCUUGUCUUUAAGCUGUUAAGGACUUUUUCUUGGAAGCCACCUUGACAGCAAUCUUAGUAGAGUUCCUUCCCUGACUUUGUGGGUGCUUUAAGUUUUCUGAGGUUUAGAAUAAGCACUGGACUGGCCAUAAGUUCAUCAUUAUGUGAAGCAACUCUAACUUGUUGUCUGUUUGUGAUGAUAGCAGAACACAUUCCAGUUCUCUAAAUAUUAUUAUUCAUGCUUGUGGAGUAGGUGGGCUUGCCUCUGGUACAGCAAUACCUUUUUCAGUUUGAAAACUUGGUGAGGGAGCAGUUGCCAAGGCUGGGAGAACAUUUUACUCAAGAAGUAAUAAGCCCUAGCAUGUAUGCAAGUCAGUGGUUCAUAACUGUUUUCUCAUACUCUUUCCCAUUCCAUUUGGCUCUUCGAAUUUGGGAUGUCUUUCUUUAUGAGGUUAGUGGUCUAAAAGCUCAUUAAAUUCUCCAAUAGGCACCAUUAUUUUGUUUUAGGAACAUUUUUAUUCCUUGGGCAGGGUGUUAAAAUCGUUUUCCAAGUUGGUCUGGCCCUACUGAAAUAUUGCCAUGAUGACUUAGUGAGUAUCCCUGGUCCUUGUUUCCUUUAGAUCCAAAUAAUUAGUACUUUUUAUGCUUAUUAAAUGAAUAUAUUUAUCUGAUCAGACAAAACUACCUUUCGAGAAACUCAUACAUGCUUUGCGUAACUUCCCUGAGGAUGCAAUGAAUCCAGAUACACUAUUACCGAUGGCCUACUCAAUCAAGGUUCUCUCUCUCUUCCUCUUACCUCUUUUCUCUUGUGCUAGCGCCAUUAAAGUUAUUGAUAGUUGAUUUUAAAUGCUAAAUUAUUUGUUGCUUUUAUUCCUUCCAAUGAAUGUUUCAUUUGCUUUUCAAAUUUAGGAACAUUUUACGAAGAAAUAAUUAUUUCAUGGGACUCAACCAUGAGAAUCACUUCCAAAAAACUUGGCAUCUAUAAAAGAAAAUUUUGCUAAUUACACUUUCAAAUUUUUUACUAAUUUGACUCAUGUGCACUGAACUGCAAAACAAACAUACUAAUUUAUUGGAAUUGCUACUGUUUGUAUUUUCUGUUGCACAAAAUGUUUACAUCAGGUGAAAUGGGCAAAUAUUUGAGUUCCAACUGAACUGAUGAGAAAUUUAGUUGGAAUAUUCAUAUUAGAGUUUAUGUUCUAUUGACCAGAAUGAUGUUACUUUCAUUUGAAAGGAUUGCUGUAUGUUUCCAUUUUUUGGAAAUUGCAUGGGAAUCUUGUCCUUUCACACUCUUUCAGAAUUUACUUGUGUAAAAAUAUUACUAAAAGAUCUUGAUAAUCUUCUUGAUGCAAAUUGUUAAUUUAUUUCGAACACAAAUUAUUACUUACAUUUUAUGAUAAUCAUGGGUGAGUCGUGUUUGUAUGGACUAAUUGUCCUUAUCAGCUAAUAAACAUCAAAUAACUUCUUGGUAGAAAAGUGAGCUCAAGUGUGUAGCAAAAAAAUUAGAGACUGCAUAACCUACUUUCCGCUGGAACAUGUAAAGAAUAGCUUAAGUACCAAGGCACCUAGUCCCUAAAUUACACAUGUAUUUUGACUUGUACAAAAAUGUCCAUGGUGCUUUAGACCAAAUUAUACACACUAUUUUAUAAAUUUUUUUAUAGGCAAUAAAAGAUGUAUAUAUGUGGCAAGAAAAAUUACAUCAAAGUAGACAAGACCUGUACAACGGGCACAAAAAGGCAAAGCUAUUCAAGAGAGAACACAAAAAAACAGCUCUCUCUCUCUCUCUCUCUCUCUCUCUCUCUCAAUCAGACACUAACCAAUUAACAAAAUCAAUCAAAGGCACCGAGCCUUCCUUUAUGUAAAUCCUCACCCAUGCUAAGAGAUUACUAUGGAAUAAACAUUUCACCCACUUCAAAAGCAACUGUAUUAAUGGGAAAGUCUCAUUCCUUCCUAAUAGCUUUCCAAACACCAACCUCAUACCCCUCUCUCACAUCCUAAGAACACCAACCCCCUUCUUCCUUCCCAUACUUCCCCUCUAUAACCUGUUUACAAAAAACAUCCCCUUCAAAAGUGAAUCUCCAACUUCACUUACCAAGAAGGGCCCAAUUAAGGGAUGAUAGACUUCUAAUGACCAAACCCACCUUCCUCCUAUCCAUGUGAUCAGUAGCUCAUUUAACUAAAUGAAGCUUACUCUUCAAAGCCCCUCUUUCCCAUAAAAAGUCCCUUUGAAUCUUCUCUAGUCUCAACCUCACUUUCUAGGGAUAGCAAACAAGGUGUUGUAGUAGAUAGGCAUUUUGAAUUAAGUGCGUUGAAUCAACGUGAGUCUUCCCCCUUCAGAAUUAUACUGCCUCUUCAACAUAGACAACCUUCUACAAAACCUCUCCACUACCCCAUUCCAAACUGAACUAGGUCUUAACGGAGCACUCAAAGGCAAACCUAAGUAGGUAGAUGGAAACUCUCCCACCUUGCAAUCCAACUCCAAUGCCAAUUCCAUCACACGCCUAGUUUAUUUUCAGGCCUGAGGUUGUUUCAAACCACAUGAGAAGCCAACUCAAAUGAACCAUUCGAUCUUGAGAAUCCUUGCAAAAAAACAAAGUAUUGUUUGCAAACAAAAGGUGGAACACCUUCAUACCCUCACUUUCCUUCCCCCUCUCUUUAAAACCCGACAAAAAACCGCCCUCCCCAUCCAAGAGGCAAAUCAACACUUCCAUGGCCAGUACGAAUAAAUACAGAGUGAGAGAGGGUCCCCUUGUCUCAAACCCUAGAGCUUUGGGAAAAAAAAAUCGGAUGAAGUACCUUUAACAAGCAUUGAGAAUCUUGUUGUGGAUAUGUACCAUUUAAUCCAAUCCAAUUCAGUCCUAACCAAACCCUAUCUUUUUAAGAAUAGCAAGCAAAAAAGCCAAGUUAACAUGGUCAUAUGUCUUUUCAAUGUUAAGUUUACAAAUUGCUCCACUAGAACCACUCUUUAGCUUAGGGUCAAUAGCCUCAUUUGCUAUAAGGGCACAUCUAGAUUCAGUCUCAUACACCUCUUAUAAUUGACAUUCCUAGAUUCAGGCUCUCCUUUCACUAUCUAUAUACUUUGGUCUCAACUACCUUUGUUAUGCCAAUUCCAUCUCUUCUAGCCAUAUCUCCUUUGUGCAUAAGAUGUUCAUUUCAGGGGAAGCAAGAUUCCUCAUCAGUAAUUUAUUAAUGAUUUUGAUUCACAAUUCAUAUGUAUACGUUUUGGUUAAUAAAUUAGGUGUCUAAGCGACUAGAGGAGCUGAAGUUGGAGUAUGAGAAGCAAAAUGGAAAGCAAGCUCAGUCUGGAGAAUCUAGUGGAAAGCAGAAAUAGCUGCAGCAAAGAUGCCUCUCAACCGGAGAGACUUAAGCCGAGAAGUCUGAGCCAUAUGCUGAUUCUUUUAUUCUUUUGCCAUGUUUGUCUGUAUUGCUCGAGGAAAAUGUACAUCGAAGAAACAAUUCCAUGAAUUUAUGCUUAAAAGUAUCAUGUGCCAUGCAAAAUUCCAUUUUGUAUGCUGAAAUCUUUUUAUCAGACAAGGUGAAAGUGGUGGAAAGUGUUGUUAUCUACUCAUCUUCUCUAUGCAUUAUGUGUAGAGGCUGUAGGUGCUGUACUGAGUGUGAGUGGUAAGUGGUUCCAAAUAUUCUACAACUUUUUUUAUUAUUACCAUCCAACAAAAUACAGCCACCUGUUUCAGCCCUUGUUUAUUAUUAUUAUUAUUAUUAUUAUUAUUAUUAUUAUUAUUAUUAUUAUUAUUAUAUUCAUUUUUUAAAGAUUUUUUUUUAAAAAAAUAUCAAUUAUAAUUAUAUCAUAUCAUAUAUGUUUUCAUUUUAGUUUGUUUUUACUUUAUUAUUAUUAUUUUGAAAUUUUGUGUUAUUUAUUAUUUAAACUUUGGUAUAAAUAUAUAGAAAUUUUUUUAAAGAAAAAUCAUUAUAGAUGAAUUUUGAAUUAUGCAAUCCAAUAAACUCAAACAACUUGAGUUCAACUCAACUAACCCGAGUUAAAUCUUAAUUUAGAAAAAUGAGAUUGGAUUGGGUUUGAGUUGAGUAUCUCGGGUUAGAGGUCGGGUUAGAUUGAACUUGGGUUAAUUGUUUCUUAUUUUGGGUUGAACCUUGGGUUAAUUGUUUCUUAAUUUGGGUUGAACUUAGGUUCGUCAUCAACCCGAUCAAUCUGCCCAAGUUGCAAUCCUAACCAUGAGAAAUGUGGAGAAUAUAAGAAUACAAUGGCUUUAGGAAAAUUAAGGGAAUGUUUAAUAAAAUUGAAAAUAAAAUAGUGAAAAAGCUUAAUAUUAAAAAUUAAAACCUAUGUAUUAUAAGUAUUGAAUUAAUCUAUUUGGUACUAUUUUAGUUUUAAAUAUUAAAUUUAAUAUUUUUUUUUCCACUUUUUAAUUCUUUUAUUAAACACCCCCUAAAUUUAAAAAAUAACAUGUUGAGAUUUUUUAUUUUUUAUUUAAAAAAAAACGAUGGUUUUAGAAAAGUUAUUAAAAAUACGACCCAAAAGGGAUCCGACAAUUAUACGUCCUUAAUUGACCCAAAACACUUCAUCAUACGUGAUUUUUCAAAUCUUCAAAACUGUUUUCUAAAUUUGGGCAAACAUUUUAUUUUUGUUUUUAAAAAACAUUUUUUAGUGAACUCUAAAAACAGUUUGAGCAAAAUUACCGUCUUCACAUUCAUCCCAAUUUCAAAAUUAUUGGAAUUCUUAUAUCAAAUUUGUAUUAUUUCAUUUACAAAAUCGAGAAAUCUAUUUUAGCCUCCUUAUAUUAUCUUUUUAUACAUACAUAAAAAAUAUUUUUAUAAUAUUAAAUUCAUAUUUAAAAAGAAUUAAUUUACUCGUUUUAAUUCCAAUAGUUAAGAUUAAGUUUUCCAUUAAUUUAAUAAUUCUAAUUUUAAAAAUGUAUGUGUAAAAAAUUCAGUUUUAAUAAUAAUAAUUAAAAUUAUUAUUUUGUGCUAAUUCCCAUACUAAUAUGUCAUCUCUAAAUUGAAAAAGGGUGAAAAGCAUGGCUUUACUCAAAAAAUUUCCAGGCUUUUACGUCUACGGCUAUGGCAAGCUUGGUUUUUCAAUGUGGAGAGACCCAAUUGGCGAAAAUUGUUUGUGGAAUAGUAGUGAAGGGUCACUGGAACAGUCUCUUGAAACCAAAUGUUGGGUCUAAUCUCACCUCAACGAUCUUGAAUCAGGUACUACUCAAUCUUUCGCUAGAUGGGUGUUGUGUUUCUUGGGCAUUCUUCAAAUGGGUUGAAUCCAAUUUAAACCAUAAGCAUUCCUUGCAAUCUUCGUGGACCAUGAUUCACACACUUGCUAAGCACAAACAAUUCAAGACUGCACAGAACUUGCUUGAAAGAAUUGCUGUUAGAGACUAUUUGUCAUCGCCUUCAGUUUUGAAUGCUGUGGUGAGGAUCCAUGAUGAUCCGGAUUCGAAUUCGCAAAUAUUGAGCUGGUUAGUGAUCUUUUAUGCGAAUUCGAGGAUGACCCAAGACGCGAUUCAGGUGUUUGAGCACAUGAGGGUGCAUGGGUUUAAACCUCAUUUGCAUGCUUGUACUGUGCUCUUGAAUUCAUUGGCUAAGGCUAGGUUGACUAACAUGGUAUGGAAGGUUUAUAAGAAGAUGGUUCGAGUCGGGGUUGUUCCGAAUAUACACAUCUUCAAUGUGCUGAUCCAUGCUUGUUGCAAGUCUGGGGAUGUGGAGAAGGCAGAACAAUUGUUAAAUGAGAUGGAAUCUAGAUUUAUUUUUCCUGAUCUUUUUACGUAUAACACACUGAUAUCACUAUACUGCAAGAAGGGUAUGCACUAUGAAGCUUUGGGUAUUCAAGAUAGAAUGGAAAGAGGAGGAGUGUCUCCUGAUAUUGUAACUUAUAAUUCCCUUAUUUAUGGGUUUUGUAGAGAAGGUAGAAUGAGAGAGGCUUUGAGGCUUUUUAGAGAAAUCAACGGCGCUACUCCUAACCAUGUAACCUACACUACUUUGAUUGAUGGGUAUUGUAGAGUGAAUGACCUUGAAGAAGCCUUAAGAUUGCGUGAGGUGAUGGAGGUGGAAGGGUUGCACCCUGGUGUUGUUACUUAUAAUUCAAUCCUCCGCAAGUUGUGUGAAGAAGGAAAGAUAAAGGAUGCAAAUAGACUUUUGAAUGAAAUGAGUGAGAGAAAGGUUGAACCUGAUAAUGUCACUUGUAACACAUUGAUUAAUGCCUAUUGCAAGAUAGGAGAUAUGGGGUCUGCAAUGAAAGUGAAGAAGAAGAUGUUGGAGGCUGGAUUGAAGCCAGACCAGUUUACUUUCAAGGCACUGAUUCAUGGGUUCUGCAAGUUGCAUGAGGUGGACAGUGCUAAAGAGUUUUUGUUUGAGAUGCUUGAUGCUGGAUUUUCUCCUAGCUAUUCCACCUACUCGUGGCUUGUAGAUAGCUACUAUGAUCAAGAUAAUAAAGAGGCAGUUAUAAGACUUCCGGAUGAACUUUCAAGAAAGGGUCUUUUUGUUGAUAUCUCAGUGUAUAGGGCACUCAUAAGAAGGCUUUGUAAAAUAGACAAGAUUGAAUCUGCAGAAAGAAUAUUCACUCUCAUGCAAGGGAAGGGUAUGAAGGGAGAUAGUGUUGUAUACACAAGUCUGGCAUAUGCUUACUUCAAAGCAGGGAAGGCAAUUGCUGCAUCAGAUAUGCUAGAUGAAAUGGAUAAAAGGAGGUUAAUGAUAACUCUUAAGAUCUAUAGAUGUUUCAGCGCUUCUUAUGCUGGUGACGGUAGCAUCCUAGGCCUCUUCUGGGAUCAUGUAAUUGAGAGACGCCUAAUUUCUAAAAAUAUCUUGAAGUAUAUUCAGCAAUUGGAUGUAAACUCUUAAAGGAUCCUUAGACAUGUCAAUGAAGUCCCAUACCAAGUUUAUCAUGCUAUAAAGGGGUGGCAACAGAUACCUGCUCCUCAUUUUCAGCCCAUGUUUUCAAGGUUAUCUAUCAAGUGAAUGGAACAAGAGAGAUUUUCUUAACAUGCACUGACUGAACCAACAAGGGAAUUGUUCCAAUUAGGUUACAGAGAACCUUGUGAUUUGCUAGAGGGUGACUAUUGAGCAAAUGAUGCAGGUAAUCUCACCAUUGAGGGGAUCAAUGCAAUCUCAAUACUGGAUAUCUGGAAUUUGGGGCUCACUAUUGAAUUUGCCAUGGGGCAUAGAAAAAUUUUGUUUGUUCUCAAUUCUCAUCUGGAACUUGUUUGGGCUACAAGUCAACUUUUUCUCUUUUCACAAUUUAAGUCCUAAUGCUGGGCAGCUAGAAGGUUCUUCCUGUAUAGCUAUACUAGUCUCAUGUGAGGUAAUUUUGAAACAGUACUGUUUUUGUUUAUUCACAAAGAUCCAUUUAGAUUUUGGAUCAACCUCAAUUUUGAUUAUUGAGUUUAGUAUGAACAUGUUGUUUCCAAUGAAGUAACUUGGUUCCUUUCUCAGAGUGAUUUGAUAGCAUAUUUCUCAUCUUUUGAAUUAUCGCUACAAACCUAUGGCACCAAUAAACAAAAUUCUCAUCGUAACUUGUUUCAAAUAGACUGGCAACUAUGGUGUUAUUGACCACACAUUUCAACGUUUGAUCACUAUAUAGGAGACUAGCAAAUAGGGUGAGUUUCAAAUGCUCGGUUGUAUUGAUCACAAUUUAUAGGUUAUUCACAUUCUUCACUAUGUAAAAUUAAAAUUUUAUUUGUAAUAUAUAGUGGUUUUACUGUUUUAGAUUUAGGUAAACUAUCAUAAGAUUCUCAUUUCAAUCCCAAAUGUUCUUGCACUAUAAAUGCCCUCGGGUGUAGCUCAGCAGUAGCGACCUCUGGCAAUGAACAGACCUUUCUUGGGUCUUCUUUUCCAUUUUUUUUUUCUUUUUUUUUUUUGUUUUUUGUUUUUUGUUUUUGUUUAUUUUUUGGGGAGUGCACCUAUUUAUCCAGGAAGACUUAAUUAAUUUGACAGUCUUACAAAAUUGUCUUGUGUCAUUUGUACAACUUACAACAUUUUCUAUGAAUCAGAUGCCACAUCUACCAUGCUUGGGACUUCAUUAUUUGUUAAACUUGGAUCUGCUGUAGUGAAGAAUCAAAAUGUGGAUCUGUCAAGUUCUAUGAUAAUUUGAAUCCAUUGAAAUUUUUGGUAUUGGUGUCUACAAAUACCCUCCCUUUAAGCCACAUGAACAUGUUGUCAUACACACACAACGAAGUUAAAAGUCACUUUUUUAGGUUUUGACUUGAUUUGGGCUUUAACAUGACUUGGAAUUUGGCUUAAACAACGUCAAUUAUGCGCUUAAGUAGUUUGAUCUGAAAUAUAAAAACUCUUUUAUAGGACUGGAUCUUGAAGCUUUGAAGAUUCGAAAAUACUUGCAAACCCUUUUGAAAUUUUGAAGAAGUUUCAAAUCCUUUUGAAGCUUUGGAUCUCUUUUGAAGAAGCUUAGAAAAAGUUUGAAGGAUAUUUGAAGAUUUUGGAGAGUUUAAAGACUUUCAAAGAAGUUGUGGACCUCCACCCUCUUCCUUCUUCAUGAGCCAGCUCUGAAAUUUACUUUCUUCAAAUAUGUACAACAUUGAACUUAAAUUUGGCAAUGGCUAUAUAAGCACCCCCUGUGAGAACAUUGCAUGGCCUCUUUUAUUGUCUGGGCACCAUCAUUCUUUGAUAAGCUUUGGUAACCUGUUCAGUGUAUGCUUUGUUCCAUUAUUUUUGGAUUUCUGUCAUGCUUUAUUAUAAAUGUCUUGUCGGUCUUUUAAGUAAGCUUUCUGAUAGUGAAAUGACAUGGAUCUACGAGGACAAUUACCCCAUAAUGUGAACAUACCUCAGUGCAAAUUAUAGCAAUAACAAUUAAUCUUAACUAUUUGGAGUUGGUUAUACAUUAGGCUUUUCUAUUCAGAUGUUCAUUUCAUCUAUUAAAUAAAGGCUAUAAUGUCUGUCUCACUGCAUUGUCUUAAGUUCCUUCUGCACUUCAAAUUGUCCUCGUAGCAUUUGAACUUGAAUCAAAUAACUUCUUCUUACUGGUGCAUUUAUUGGUCUUUGUUGCAAAUAAGCCAGUUAUCAAUAAAGAUAAUUAUGGGAAAUCAAUUACUAGCUCUUUUCUUUUUCUUUUUUGGUCAGGGCUCCAUGUAAAUAAAUUGAUAAUUAUAUACUGACUGUGUUACAAAAUAGGCAUUAUAAGCUGGUUGCAGUAGGACAUAGGCUCUCUUAACCAAUCUAGACUUCUGUUCUCUAUUGGUUCCCAUUGUUUUUCUUCCUGAAGUUUUCACUUACCAAAUGGAAAAAGAUUGGUAAAUAAAUAUUUGUAGUACAAACUAACAAAUAUGUUCAUACUUUCUCUGUAAUCAUCUUCUUUUUAGUCUCCUUUUUGGUGUACGAAAAAUUGAAACCAAGUGAGAUAAUUAAUCUCUAGCUGUCUUGAGACAGUCUGUUUUUCCAUUGCUUCAAUGCAGAACUAUGAGAUUUAUUAAGUCUUUGUUUGGAAUUAAAUAUUUGUUGUGCUCCAAAAUGAUCUUUCAUUUCAUUCUCUUUAUGUUUAAUAUGGAGGGCUUGUACUUUAAGCAGUAUUUGUUUUUCAAGUAGUGAUUCUCUAUGAUUGUAUAUGCGUGCAGUUCUGUGUAUUAUAUGUGCAUGCACAGGUAUGGAAGCCAAUGAAAAUACUUUGACGGGUAUUUGGUUUAGGAAAAUUGAUUUUUUAUGCUGUGUUUGUGUAUGUUUUUCCCUUGACGGAUAUUUUUUAUGCCAAUGAAAAUACUUUGACGGAUAUUUUAAUACAAGACAUAAGGUUUCUUUUCAGGGAGGAAAGACGGGCUAGAAAAUGGAGGAAAAUGAUUGGAAUUAGAGGGAGUGAUUGGAAGCAUUAUGUUAGGAGAAAUCUUAAUUUGGUUAAAAGGUGUGUAUGAAAAGAAGUCCUGAUUGUUUAAGGGGACUUGUUUGGCAGUUGAUCUCAGAAAGUCAUGACCUCUUGCUGAUGAACCCUGGAGUAUAUGAGGUACACCUUUCUCUUAUUUUCUCAUCUCUAAAAGUAAUCUCAGUUUUUUUUUUCUUGAUUCUUUUUUAUCUGCUAUAUUCAUUGCUUAAUUUAUCGUCAUUGGUUACAAGUUUGAAUGCAAGUUCCAUGAAGAAAGAUCUACUUCCCCUCAUAGUUUUAAAACGUGCGCUUAAAGCGCGCCUUGGCCUGACUUGCAACCAUUCCCUAGUUAUAACACAUUGCUUGCCAAGGCAUGUGUCUUGUUGAAGAGGCAUGCCUCAUCUACUUUACUUUUCCUUUUUAAACAUUUUUAUUCUUCAAAUUUCUAAUUGUAAUUGAAAUUUAUAUAAUUUCAUUACUUUUUUUUUUUAAUUGAAAUCCUCUUUUAAAUAUUUGGAAUCUUAAAUUUUUUAUUAAUGGAAUUAGAUUUCGGAUCAUAUUUUAUAAAAUCAAUAUGUAUCCUAGGUCAAGUUUCACUUCACUCAGGCGUGUGCCUUGUCUUGCGCUUGAGCUAUAGGAGCCUUUCACCUUAGGUGCCCCUUGCUCCUUUUAAAACUGUGCUUCCUCCCGCCUCUCUCUCUCUCUCCUUCCCUCCCUCCCUCCCUCCCUCCCUCUCUCUCUCUCCACACACACAUAUAGGAGGAGAUGUAAACUGAUUAUGAGUCUAUGAACAUGGAGUCUCAUCCUCAUGGUAUGGAGUAGUAAGCUUUUGUUUCAACUUCCAACUUCAAUAUUGGUAUUGAUUGAUUUAAUGCAUAUGAAUGCUACUUUGACAUGUUUUUGUUUUAUUUUUCGUUGUACAUGCAAUAGACUCUACCUCUUUGUUAUUGUGUUGGAACUGCUGUUGUCACUAUAGAUUAGCUCCGGUAUUCACUCUUUUUUGUGCAGCUUUUAAGGCAAAGCUAUUGCUCUUGGAAGUACCUGAAGCUUUAGGACAUACGUUAGGAUGUAACCUAUCCAAGCAUUUACUGGUCAGCUAGUUGGAUGUCAUGCCCAAUCUAAACUGUGCUUGAGAGCCAAGUGGAACUCAAUCUUGCUAAUUCUUGUUCUAUAAUAUGAUAUAUUUGCUGACCUCUUCUCCUCAGUCAUAUACAAUGGCAGAGAAGGGGCAAACUGGAUGAUUAGUUAGGCAGUUUCAUUCCCAUUCUUCUUUCUUAUCAUACCAUGGCUUACAAGUUUGAUGAAGUUACCUGCAUUAUUAUAUCUGACAUAAGGUUCACAUUAAUCAGUUUGAAUUUUUUGUUUAUUAAUGAAUUUGAUGCGUCUGGUGAUUUUAAUGAAAUAUUUUACUGCAUAGCUGAUGUGAGAACUAACUUGAUGCCUGAACUUGCAACACUUCCACCCGUGGUGGCGGCUCAAUUUAGAAGAGAUAUGUGGGUACUUGAUGAUUGACUUCUAACAUGCAAGUUUCAUUCUUUUAUUAACUGAUAUUUGUAUUGGACAGUGAAAAGAGGUUAAAGGAACCAAAUAAAGUAGAGGUAUUGAGUCUACUUUUGUGAUUGUUGGCUUGUUAUGCAAUCAAAUGACUUAAAGGCCACCUCAAGUGCAUUAAAAGUUCACUAGUUCAGUAGUUUGGUUAUGUGACAAUUGACAAUUGAAGUUGCAGGUCAUGUUUCUCACAUUGAAAGUUCUAGUCUUAGUGUUUGUUUGUUUGUUUAUUUUCUUUCUUUGGUUGAAGCCCAAAAGCUCCUAUGUUCUUUUGAUUGUUGAGUUGGGGUAGUCAAAUUGGUGCGAGGAACCCUUAUGGGUGUGUUUCCCACUUUGUAUGCCUUACCUUUGGCUUAAGAGGCCUAGGUAGCAUAUGUAUCGAAAGCAAGGGGAAGGGGGACACUGGAAUCUGUGUUUUGCUAGACACCUAAACAAGUGAGAUGGAAAUUGUGGAAUCUUUUUUCUUAAGGUUGCAAGGGGAAUUUAUGAAAAAGGGAGAGAAGGAUAGGGUGGUGUAGAUGGGUUCAAGGAAUAGUUCAUUUUCCGUAAAUCUCUUUAUUCUAUGUUGGAGUCAAGGGUGCUCAAUCCUUUCCCACAAGGCAUUAUUUGGAAUUUAUAGGAACCAUCUAAAGUGAGUUUUUUUGCUUAGGAAGCUUAUUGGGUAAAGGCAUUGGCUUUAGAUCAACUUUAGAGGAGAGGAUGGUCUUUGGCAAAUAGAUGUUACCUUUGUAAAAGCAAGGUGGAAUCUUGAACACAUCCUUCUUCAUUGCAUUAAAGCUAGGGGGUUAUGGCACUUGUUAUUUUCUUUAUUUGGAGUUGUUUGGGUCUUUCCUUUUUCAAUUAAGGAGACCCUCUUAAGUUGGCAUGGCUCCUUCGUGCAUAAGAAGGUCUAAAGAGCCUCCUUGUUGUGUAUUUUUUGAACUUUAAAAAAGGAAAGAAACCGAAAAACAUCUGAAAAUGCAUAGCAAAUGACUUAAUCAUUGAAGAGCUCUUUUGUUAAAAGUUUGUUGGCAUGAGUUAGGAUGUACACUAUAGAAGAAUCAAUGGCUUUAGUCAAUUUUGUAGAUUAGAUGGGAUUUAGAUGAGGGAGGGAGCAAAUUUUUGUAUUUUCUCUUUUCCUGCCUAUGCCUUUUAUUAGCCAUGAUAUAUAAUCUAUGUGCCUUGGUGUAUGACUCUUUUUUAUUGAUAUAUAUCUUUUCUUUUCUUACUUAUCAAAAAAAAAAAAAAAUCAGUUGGGUGUAGCUUGAAUUGUUGAUACAGGUGGACUACAGUACUAGUUAACUUGUAUGCUUAUUUGUCAUUAGGUGGAAGGAUAACUCUUAUCUAAUCAUGCCUAUCCCAUAUUCCAAGUUAUUUAUCUCCUUAUUCAAGAUCCCCUCUUUAGUGGUCGGAAAAACUGAGAAAUUGCAAAGGAAUUUUAUUUAGUUAGGGGCUAGGGAGAGCAAGAGAGACCAUCUUAUUAGCUGGGAUUUAGUGUGUAAGUCUAAGGUGGAAGGGGGUCUGGGAUUUGGUAAGAUAUCCUUAAGGAAUCUUUCUCUAUUAGGAAAAUGGUUGUGGAUGUCUCCUAGGGAAAGUUAUACUCUAUGGCAUCAGGUUAUUCUAAGCAUUUAUGAUACACAUACUAAUGGAUGGGAUGUCAACACUAUAGUCAGGUGGUCACAUUGUUUCCCAUGGAAAGCUAUUGCAAGGUCUUUGAGGAUUUUAUUAGGUACUCUCAGUUUGUGGUAGGCGAUGAGGCGAGAAUCCGUUUUUUGGGAAGACUUGUGGUAGGGGAUCAGCCUUUAAGUUCUCAAUUUCUGGUUUAUUGAGAAUUGUCACAGUUAAAAACUUCUUAUCUCAUCAAUUCUUGGGCCUUCUUAUCUUUUUUCUUAGAAUUUCAACUUUCGUUGUAACCUCUCUAAUUUUAAGAUAGAAGAUUUAGAAAGAUUAAUGUCCUCUCUUACUUGUUUGCACUUAUCUCCAUCAAUUCCAGAUGUGAGAGCUUGGUCCUUAUCUUCUUUGGGUUUAUUUAUAGUAAAGUCUUUCUUUGUAGUCUUGUCGAAUCAUUAUGACCCAAUUCAUUUCCUCCCUACUUGUUUUGUUUGGAAAUCUCAAGUCCCUCUUAAGGUCAAGUCCUUUGCUCGAUUAAUGGCACUCAAGAAGGUAAACACCAAUGACAUGCAUAGUUGAGAAAAUCCUAUAAAGCCCUCAAUUAUGAUGUUUUUAUGUUAUGUAUGGAAAGUGGAGAAUUGGUAGAUCAUCUUUUUUUACAUUUUUCAUUGACUUUGUGGUUGUGGCACAUAUUAUUCAUAUUGGUUAAGGUGGAUUGGAUUCCUCCUAGGAGUAUUUGUGACAUGAUGACCAUUGCAUAUAAGGGAUUGGGAAACUCCAGUAGAGGCGUGGUACUGUGGCAAACUGCUUGUCUGGCUUUGAUAUGGGUUGUGUGGUAGGAAAGAAAUUCUAGGAUCUUUGAGGAUAAGGUGAGGAUUUUAGAGGUUCUUUGGGAUACCAUUCAUUUCCUUGCUUCCUUUUGGGCCUCUUGCACCAUAAAUUUUAAGGGCAUUUCCCUUAAUGUGGUUCAACUUGAUUGGUUAUCGGUGUGUACGUCCAAAGGUUUGGGAUAGCAAGGAGAGAUUGUUUUGUGUACUUUCCAUAUGGUGUACAGGUUUACUUAGUUUUUUGAAGGUUCCUUUUGUUUUGUUCUUUGUUUUUUGGAGGAUUUCUCAUCCUUCUUUUGUACAUUUUAAAUCCUUUUUUAAUAUAUUACAUUGUUGUUUCUCAUUAAAAAAAAAAUGUUUUCUUCCAGCAGAGACAUGGACCUGGUCAAAGGUCCCGCUAGAAUUUUUUGAAGGCAUACACUGUGUAUGCAGAGAUGUUGGAUAUGUUCAGGUUUGAAUCUCCUCUAUCCCAUCACUCUUCUAUUUACUGUCUGUAGGAUACUGAAUGACAUUGGAUUGGUAUUGCUUGAAAUAUAGGAAUGGGAAUUUUUAGCUGGUUUUACUGCUUCUUUAUACUAGUGAAGAAGAUGCAUUUUGGUUGAUGAUUGCAUUACUUAAAGGGGAUGUUCAUGCCACAAUGGAAGGAUUAUAUUUGGUAAACUUUCUUCCUUUCAAUAGAAAUUUUUGGUAAUCUUUCUGUUUUAACUUUCGAGGAAGUUUGAUCUCACUCUAGAUGAUGAAAAGCUUAAAUUAUCAGCUGUAAGUGACUAAUGUUAUGCAACUAAUGGAGUUUGGAUGCUAGAGUGACUUUGGCUUCCUGUCAAGUUAGGUAGCAUGAGAUUUUUUUUUUGAGAAAUUUUUUGCUGAGGUUUCUGAAAGACAAAAACUCCCAAUAUAGUGUAUUGGUUAAAAUGAUUCAUGUGUUUUACCCAAGUAGCUGGAGUAAGGUUUUGUUGAUGUGAGGUGAGUUGGAUUUAGUGUUUUAGAAGAGUGUGGGAAGGAAGGAUUGCUGUCUGAAAAUCUUCUGUACCUCCCCACUUACAAUGUACUGGGAAAGUCCAAUGCCACUCUUUGGGAACAAUGAAGCUUCAUGUGACCUCUCUAGUCCAGGUGCGGUAGUGUGCAUCCCCAUGACAUGUCCAAUCACUGUACCUCUCUACCAUAACUUCUUUAACAAGACAUACCCUUAAGCAUGGAAGUGUGGCCCUUUGCUUUUGACUUAUUGUGUUCAGUAACAUUCCACAAUUGUAAUUUUUGUAUUAACUGAAAAGAAUAAACAUACUGCGUACGGGGAUUUAAUUCUAGGAAAACAAGAAGUUAAGGGAGAUGUGUUGAAGGUUUUUAAAUUUGAAUGGGAAGAUCAGAUCCAAAAAUGAUAGGUGAUGAUGUUUAUAAACUUCUGAUGGAAAUUUAAAAAAAUAACGUUUUCUUUCUUGUAUUGAUUAAGAAGGAUUAGAUGGUAUUUAAAAGAGAACAAUUCAACAGUCAAGGAUAGGUCAUAGCUGAACAAUAAGGAAAGAAACAAUCCUAGGAAUGUUUUCAUAAUACACAAGGGAAGGAAAUCAAAUUAAUUUAUAGAAAUAAAUUGAUUGAUUUUAUUGAAGGAAAAAAAUCAAUCAUUUGACUAGUUCUACUAAAGGAAGAAAUCAAUCAAUGAUUGUAUUUGUUUCCAUUUACGCUGUCAGACAGCUUGAUAGAACCAAAUUUCUGAACUUUUAACACUGCCCUUCAAGCUGGUCGUAAAUAUUCAUCAUGCCCAGCUGGCUUAUCAAUUCUUGAAAUUAUUGUCUUGGUAAGUAAACACUUUGUAAGAACAUCCACCAAUCAAUUUUUUGAAGAGACAUGGGACAUACAAAUUUGACCACCUUAUAGUUUCUCCUUAAUGAAGUGUCUAUUUAUUUCCAAAUGUUUGGUUCUGUCAUGCUGAAUGGGAUUGUGAGCUAUGUUGAUUGCGGCCUUGUUAUCAUUAUAGUCUCAUCAAGUUGUUAUUGGACUGCUGAAGCGUUUUCAUUAGAGACUUAAGCCAAAAUAGUUCACAAAUCCUUAAUGUCAUUCAUUUAAAUUCAGCUUUAAAACUUGACCUUGCCACUACUGUUUCUUGCUCUUCUAAGUUACUACGUUACCUCCAAUAAAGGUGCAGUGUCUAGAGGUGGUUCUUCUAUCACUUGCUGAGCUUGCCCAGUUAGUGUCAGGGUAUGCUUCUAUCUCCAAAUGAUUAUUUUUUGCAAAGAGAAGCCCUUUUUCUGGACUGCCCUUAAGGUAUUUCAGGAUCCUCAUUACCGUAUUCAUGUUAUCUUCGUUUGGAGCAUACAUUAAUUGACUAACCACUCUUACUGCAGAGGCAUUUCAAGUUUGUGACUUGCAUUGAUUAGUGUAUCACUCGGCCUGUAUCCCACCAUACUUGUCCUUAAGUAGAUCCGUAACAUACUUUCUUGGUGACAAAAAAACUCACAUCUUAACCUUGCAACCUCUAUAUCAAGAAAAUAUCUUAGAUUCCCCAAGUCUUUAACCUCAAAUUCUUUAGCAAGAGAUCCCUUUAGUCUUCCUAUUUUAGCAACAUUGUUCCCUGGUUGCAACGAUAUCAUACACAUAGAUAAUAAGGAUUGUGAUCAUACCUCCUUUGGUAUGCUUAAAUAACAUUGUGUGAUUGGUCUGGUUUUGAAGAUAUCCCAUCUUUCAAAGGAAGAUUGUAUAUCAUUCAAACCAAGCCCUUGGUGUCCCUUUCUAUCCAGAAAGGGAUUUCUUCAGUUUGCACACUUUUCCUCUAAAUUUGGUCUCAAAUUCCAAUGGUGAAUUCAUAAAUAUUUCCUCUUCCAAUUCUCCAUGUAAGAAGCCAUUUUUUACAUCCAAUUGAUGUACUGGUCAUUCAAGAUUAGAAGCCAAGGAUAGUAAGACCCUUAUUGUGUUCAUCUUAGCAACUGGUGUAAAUGUCUUUUAAUGGUCAAUACCAUAUGUUUGCAUGAAACCAUUAGCAACAAAUCGAGCCUUGUAUCUAUUGACAAUUCCAUCAUAUUUAAAUUUCAUUGUGAAUACCCAUUUGCAACCUACUGUUUUCUUUCUAGGUGGUAGUUCCACGAGCUCCUAAGUCUUAUUUUUGUCCAAAACAUGCAUUUCUUCUUGAACCGUCUCUUUCCACCUUGGAUCUUCUAGGAGUUUUGGCAUAAUCUUAGGAGUAUUCACACAUGAAAGAUUGGUAUUAAAGGCUCUAAAGGAUGGAUUGAGUUUAUUAUAAGACACAAACUUGGAAAUAAGAUGUUGAGUACAUGACCUUAUACCCUUUCGAAUAGCUGUGUGCAAAUUAAGAUCUGACAUGGUUUCUUUAACAUGCUCAGAAUGGGUAAAGUCAGUUUGAUUUUCCAGCCCACCAUGUUUAGUUCAGACAAUUGGCAGGGAGGGAUGUUUUCAGCUUCUUUAUUCCUCCUAGAGUAAACUUUUAACUCUUUUUCUUGGUCAUGAUCUCUCAAGUGUCCUUGUUAUCUAACUUCCCCUUCACAGAACUCUCCUCAAGUUCAAUUUGAAGAGUUUCGCAGGUGAUAGAUGGAAUAGUAGAUAUGUUAGACUCCAGUAGGAUUGACCAAAACUGAUCUUGUCUCUCACUCUUUCAGUGGGCAGAAGUUUGGGUAAAGUAGGCGUUGCUUUCAAAGAAUGUGACAUCUAUAGAGACAAAAAACCUAGGGGAUAGGGGAUGGAAGCAUUUAUGACCCUUUUGUAUUGGUAAAUAUCUGAGGAAUAUGUAAUGGAUCAAGGAUCUAACUUAUUCCUAUUCUGGGUAUGGACAUGGGUAAAUGCAGUACUACCAGACACUUUAGGAGUUAGAGAAGAAAAAAUGACCAGAAGUUGGGUAGAUCUGUUUAAGGUCAUUUAUAGGAGUGUCAAAGUUAAGAACAGGGGUUGACAAUCAAUUUAUUUCUACAAAUUGAUUCAAUUUCCUUUCCUUGUGUAUCAUGUAAAUAUUCAUAGAUUGUUUUGUUUCUUUUUCUACAGCUAUAAUCUAAUGGUUGGAUUUUUUUUUUCUUUUAAAAGUCAUGCAAUUCUUCUGAAUCAAUACAAGAGAGAAGUUUUUUUUUUUUUUUUUUCCUCGAUUUUUAUCAUAGUGUCCAAGCAUCAGUUGGUGGGAGGUCAUGUGUUUGAAUCUUAUCACCACAUGUUUAUUUUCCCAAUUUAUUAAGUCCAUGUGUAAGAUAAAAAAAGAACGGCUCCAUGUGAGGGAGGAUGUUGGAGAGCAUGAUAUACAUUGUGAAUCCAAAUCCUACAAACUUAAGUUUUUAGGAAAAUUGGUUGUUCAACAACUUCAUAAAAUUGAAGCCAAACAAUGGAUAGGAUUUCAAGUCAAUUGCUUCUAUAAUAUACUAAUAGGUAUAGAUUUAUGGUCAAUAUCUUAGCACAAUUGGUGGAUGAUAGGAUAGUACAUAAUAUAUACCAAAAAUUAAGAAUUGUUUUAGUAUCCAAUUAUUGUCUGGUUUUGGAUAGGAUUGCAUAUGUACACCAAAAUUAGACAAUAAAUGUGACUCUAUGUUAUGAGUCAGCUGUGGUUCCAAGAAGAAAUGAACUAGUAUGACCCUUUGGCUUUUCUUUUUAUUUGUUUUCUAGGGCCUGCAAGGCUCUGCUAUACUCCAUAAACAUCUGUCAACUUCUUUUGCCCAGAUCUAAAGAUUCUUUUUUUUUUUUUUUGGCCAACAUUAAUGGAAAAUUUAGUCAACAACCUUAGUGACAGGAUCUUGCCAUGAAAAACUUGGAUCCAGUUUAGAUUAGGUGCCCCCAAUGUUGUUAAUUUCAUCACAAAACCCAAACUUAGACUGUAAAUUGAAGUUGUCAGAUUAGACAAAACCUGUCUCCUAACUUGAUGAUCAGUAACUUUUGAGAUUGCACCUCCUAGAAUGAUAAGUCAUAUUUUGACCUUUCCUUGUGCUUCCCUACCAUCCUCAAAGUGAUAGGUUAAAAAUUAUCAACAGGAAUAGUUCAUUAACUGCUCAUUACCAAAUUUAUCAUAAAAAGAAACUGAUUCUUUAUUGUUAUUAUUAUUUUUUACUUUAUUGAUUACACUGUGCAAACUUAUGCUUUUGUUGUAUUAUGUGGGUUACAUGCUUAUAAUUCAAAGAUAUAGUUCUUGGUUUUUGUGAGAAACAUUAAUUUAAGCCAGUAUUAUGGGAUGUUUGUGCUUGGAGAAACUUAUGAAGAUUCUAAAUUUCUUGCCUUUAAGCUGUUAAGGUCUAUUUCUUGUAAGCCACCUUGACAACAAUUUUAGCAGAGUUCCUUCCCUGAGGUGCUUUAAGUUUUUAAGUUUUCUGAUGUUUAGAACAAGCAUUGAACUGGCCAUAAGUUCAUCAUUAUGUCAAGCAACUCAAGUAUCUUGUCUGUUUGUGAUGAUUACAGAACAUAUUCCAGUUCUCUGAAUAUUAUAAUCUAUGCUUGUGGAGUAGGUGGGGUUGCCUCUGGUACAGCAAUACCUUUUCCGUUUGACAACUUGGUGAGGAAGCUGUUGCCAAAGCUGGGAGAACAUUUUAGUCAAGAAGUAAUAAGCCCUGGCAUGUAUGCAAGUCAGUGGUUCAUGACUGUUUUCUCAUGCCCUUUCCCAUUCCAUUUGGCUCUUUGAAUUUGAGAUGCCUUUCUUUAUUAGGUGAGUGGUCUAAAAGCACAAUAAAUUCUCCAAUAAGCAUGCCAUUAUUUGGUUCUAAGAACAUUUUUAUUGCUUGGGCUGGGUGUUAAAAUUGUUUUUCAAGUUGGUUUGGCCCCUACUGAAGCAUUGCCAUGUUGACAUAGUAUCCCUGGUCUUCAUGCCCUUUAGAUCCAAAUAGUCAGUACCUUUUAUGCUUAUUGAAUGAAUAUAUUAUAUUUGAUCAGAUAAAAUUACCUUUCGAGAAACUCAUACAUGCUUUGCUUAACUUCCCUGAGGAUGCAAUGAAUCCGGACACACCAUUAACAAUGGCCUACUCAAUCACGGUUCUCUCUCUCUCUCUCUCCCUUUACCUCCUUGGCAUCUAUAAAAGAAAAUUUUGAUAAUCAUUUGCUUACAAAUUUGACUAAUUUGACUCAUGUGCACUGUACUGCAAACAAUAAGCAUAUUAAUUCAUUGGAAUCGCUGCUUCUGUUUUGUAUUUUCUGUUUCACAAAAUGUUUACAUCAGGAGAAAUGCACAAAUGUUUGAAUCAACUGGAACUAAUGAGAAAUUUAUUAAGAAUAUUCAAAUCAUAGAGUUUCUUUGUCUCUGACCAGAAUGGUGUUGCUUUCAUUUAGAAUGAUUGCUGUGAGUUUCCAAGGACCAAAGAAAACUCUUUUAAAGAUACCAAAGAACAAAAUAGAUCCUCGCGUCAUUUAUUUUUGGAAAUUGCAUGGGAAUCUCAUUCCUUCACACUCUUUUGGAAUUUAGUUACAUAAAAAUAUUACUGAAAGAUCUCGAUAAUCUUCGUGAUGUAAAGUGUUAAUUUAUUUCUGACACAAAUUAUUAUUUACAUUUUAUGAUAAUCAUGGGUGAGUUGUGCUUGUAUUAACUCAUUGUUCUCAUAAGGUAAUAAACAUCAAAUAACUUCUUGGUAGAAAAGUGAGCUCAAGCAAGUAGCAACAUAAUGAGAGACUGCAUAGCCUACGAACGGCUGGAACAUGUAAAGAAUAAGUACCAAGGCAUCUCGUCCCUCAACUACACAGGUAUUUUGACUCAUACAGAAAUGUCCAUGGUGCUUCAUACCAAGUUACACACUGUUUUAUAAUCGGCAUUCCUAGAUUCAGGCCCUCUUUUUCAUUAUCUAGAUACUUUGGUCCCAACUAUUGGGGUUCGUUACACAGCCUUUGUUAUGCCAAUUCCCUCCCUUCUAGCCAUGUUUCCUUUGUGCAUAAAGCCAUAUCCUUGGUUCUUUUCCUAUCAUUUUGCAGCAUUGAACCUACAUUUGUGGUUGGUUUGAUUUCUCAUUGGCAUAGGAAUGCUUUGUGAUGCAUAUAACAAAGCAAUCUUAGACAAGUUCCCUACUGUUUGCUGCCAAUCAGACGUAAAUUUUGCUUGCAUUUUCAUUACCCUUUAUUAUUCAAGCAAAUGGAAGUUAGGAUGACUGUAUUAUGCCAAUGGAAAUUAAAUCGGCUGUGUUAUUGACUUCAAAACCAUGUGAAUUGUGUUGGACAUGAGAUGACACCACUAGGCAUAUGGAAUAUGCUCAUUGCGCUGCCAAUACAUGCAUCUAACCAGUAAAACUAGAGUCCCGAUGAGUUGGUUCUUUCCUUGCAUAGAUUUUUGAAAUGAUUGAUACGGAUUCUGGGUUAUUUUCUUUCCCAUCCCAAAACACCACCGCCCCCCACCCCACCCCUUCUUUUUUUUAUUGAUGGAUUACCCAUCCUUCCUUCUACUUCUUGCUUUUUUAUCACUAGAUUUUGUCGUUUCCUAUAAAAACAGAAAGAAUUGGAAGACCACAUGAAUCUGACUCCAAGAUACACCGGUUCCUGACAUACAUAUUCAAUUCCAUGCUCGUUUCCUAGGAAACGAGAUUCCUCAUUGGUAAUUUAUUAAUGAUUCUGAUUCACAAUUUGUAUAUAUAUGUUUUGUUUAGUAUCUAAAUGACUAGAGGAGCUGAAGUUGGAGUAUGAGAUGCAAAAUGGAAAGCAAGCUUAGUCUGGAGAACCUAGUGGAAAGCAGAAAUAGCUGCAGCAAAGAUACUUCUCAACUGGGAAGAGUUAAGCCGAGAAGUCUGAACCAUAUAUAUGCUGAUUCUUUUGUUCUUUUAUCAUGUUAUCUUAUAUUGCACGAGGAAAAUGCAUAUUGAACAAGAAGGUUAUCAAUGGGGAAUUCGCCAAACAGUUUCUUGCAUGGAUUUAUGCUUAAAAAUAUUAUGUGCUAUGCAAAAUUCCAUUUUGUAUGCUGAAAUCGUGUAUCAGACAAAGUGAAGUGGUGGAGAGUGUUGUUAUCUACUCAUCUUGUGAUAAGGCGGUACCCCUUGAUGUAACUCUCUUAGAUUUUGGGGAUAUGGAUGAAAAUAAUUAGGAAGUAGUAGUUGGGUCCCCCUCAAAAUCAGUAUAUAGAGAAUGAAUGAAGUUAUUUAAUCAUUGAUGACCUGUUUUUCUUACCUAACGGACGGCCUACAAUCGAAAGAAGUCAAAAGGGUGGCCCUGGUGACCAGCUCAUGCAGGUAUGGCGUUCCUAUCCUCUCGAGUCCCGACACAUUUGCAGGUAAACUUAUUAGGCAAGGAGUACGAUGCUGCGCAUGCAUUUCUUCCAGUGUUUUUGAUUUGAUAUAUACCUCACGGCUCUUUCCCUGAUUUGAUCUGAUGGGCAGCAACACCCCACAUUAUAUGUCCAAAAGGGUUAGCGAAUUUGAGAAAAAUGGUGGUGGGCUACAGCUAUAAUGGUAGAGGGUAGGCUUGUACCACAUUUCAAGGGAGGCCAGCAUUAUUUCAUACCAAACAGAAAAGUAAUCUCCAAAAUGCAUUUUGAUGGUGCGUCCCAAACACUUCCUUGCUUCAAAUGGGUGAGUGUUGUUUAAGUGGUAAGUCUGAUACACCAAACUUUCAGUCAUGACUCAUGGGUAAAAAGAGAGACUGUUUUUAAAUAACGACCCUUUUGAUUGAUGUCCUUUCUGAACGUGUGGGUGGGGCACUGGGCGCUGAUGAUAUUGGGUCUGACACUUCAUAGUUUAUACUUUAUACCACUAGUAAAUAAUAAUAAUGCAGCACUUUCCUGGGGCCGCUGGAAACGAACACAAACUUUGGAAAGGAAAAACGAGGGCCAGGUCAGGUGAAUCCCGUCCACGUGUGGGGUGGUAGAAGUACAAGUGUAGAACUAAUUUUGCCACCUGUUACAACCCCUUAUUUAUUUAUUUUAUUAAAUGGAAAGAUGGUUUGGCACGUCAUUGCUUUUCACGCCACUCCCAUUAUUUAGUAAAAUAUCCACCAUGCCCUCCUCCGCCUACUCUUCGCCCGGGCCGGCCAGGCAUUACUCUCCUCAAAUGCCAGCCUGUUCCAAUUUGACUUCAAAAAUUUGCUUAGCCUAAUUGGAAUUAAGAAGGUUAAUUUAGAGGUACCAUAAAUAGCCAUCUACUAGAAAAGGAAAAAACUAAUAAUUACCGUAAAAAUAAAAGAAAAAAAUUAAUUAAAAGAUUUUUCUUCCUAAAAUAGUCAUAGAAUUAAAUUUUGAGCCUUUUACGCUAUGAUCAUUGAUUCUUCAUAUAUUAUUUUCUAUAUUUAAUAAUAUAAUAUAAUAUAAUAUUUUUAUUUAUAAAUUUAAAAUAUUUUAGUUAUGAAUAUUAUUAACAAAGAAAUAAAAAGUAGGUAUUGAAUUAUAGUUAUAAAUUAUAGAACAGUUUUUUAAAAUAAUACUAGCUAUGUGAAGCAUUUCAUACCUUUUUUAAAAACAAGUAUUAGGGUGUAAUAUAAUUUUUAUUUGAAAUAAAUGAAAAAGGAGUAUAUUAAGAAUCAGUAUACUCUCUUGUUAAGUUUCAUAAAAGUCCCCAUGCACUUUUAAAUAAAAUCUCUAUUUAUAUUUAUAAAACUCUUUUUAGGAUUAAAUUCUUAAAUAUUCCAAAUAUCCCUUUUAGAAUCAAAUACCACUUUAGAGAUAAUCACAAUUUUUAAAACUUGCUAAAAAGUAUUUUAAUUUUUUUUUAGAAUCGAACACAAAUUUAGAGAUAAGUAUAAUUUUAAAAUUUAUCAAAAACCAUUUUUGGAAUUAAAAAUAUAGUAAAAAUAAAAUUAGGAAAUAGAAAGUAUUAUCUUCUUAAUUUCUUGUAUUAGUCAUUCUAGAUGAGGUUUGAAUGUAUGAAAGGAAUAAGACAAGAAUAAGACUCAAGAAAAUAAAUUGCAUCUAAUUAAUAAAAAAAAUAAACAAAAUUAUUAAUUAAAUAAGAUAUCCUAACAUAUUUUUUUAUUUUAUAUUUUAAUUUUGUUAAAGUAAAAAAUAAUUAUGACAUAAUAUAUUUCAUUGGAUAUUACAUGUUGCAUUCAUUUUAUUGGAUAUGAUGUUUAAAAAUAUUAUAUUUUAUCAAAAUAAUAUCAUACAAUAUACAUGUUAUCUGCUAUGAAAAACAAAUAUACUCUCAAUUUUAAUGAAAUUUCAAAGGUAUUUGGUAAAUCAAUUUAAUGACAUAAUAAUUUAAUUUAAGUUUAUUAAAUACAUUAAAUAUAUUUAUUAAAGUAACUUAAUAUUAAAACUUAAAAUUAAAAUGAUUCUAAGUCUUAAGUCAAAAUAGUUCAUUUAUUAUUACUUAAAUCUAAAACUGUGUUUAUAAAAAAAAUGAAAUUGAGAUUUAAAUCAUUAAAUAAUUAAGUCAUUUUAAGUUAUUAAAUUGAUUUACUAAAUAUACUCAGUUUGUUUUUUGAAGAUUAAAAGGUAACAUCAUCAAAACAACAUUUUAUUUCAAAUUAAGCAAUUUUGAGUGUGGUGGUUGAAAAAGGAAAUUAAAAAAAAAGGAAAAGAAAAGAAAAUAUAGAAACAUAGAAAUAAGAAAUAUGGCAGAGCAAGUUAUUGGUGGGUUUAGGAAAAUUAAGGGGGGUAUUUCACAAAACUAGAAAUUAGGUAUUGGUGGAAAAUUAAUCAAUUUAAUACCAUUUUAGUUUUAAGUGUUGUUUUAAUUUAACCAUUUCAGAAAAUUACGAAGAUUGAAAAGUUAUUUCACAAAAUUAAUAAAAAAAAUAUUUAUAUAAACCAAUCAAAUCGAAUUUACUUAGAAUUAUAAUUUUAUUAGCUUAAGAAAUUAAAAAAUAAACAUAAUUUCGACUAUAUAUAAAUAAGAAUAGAAAAUGUAUAAAAAUAAAUAAAUAAUUAAAUAAAAUUUAUUAGAAUUUUAACUUUAUUAUGUUAAGGAAUUAAAAAUAAAUAAAAAUAAUUAUUAUAAUAUAUGCAUAAUGAUAUAAAAAUAAAAAAAAUAAAUAAUGUAAAAAAGUAAUUCUUAUAAAUCAAUUAAAAUAGAUAAUUUAAUUUCUAAUAAAAAUAAUUAUUUUAUAUAUAAAAAAAAGGAUAAGAAUGAAAUAAAAAGUUAUAAACUAUAGUAUUUAUAAUUUAGUGAUAGUAUUUUGCUAUAAAGGAUUAUCUAUCUAAAUGAAUAAAAAAUGUUAUAAAAUGAUAAAAAAAUAUAUCAUAUUCUAAUAUUUUUUAUUUAAAAAAUGAUUUAUAAAUAUUUUUUUAGUUAUUUUUUAACCAUAAAUUUAACUUUAUAAUAAAAAAUAUUUUUGAAAAAUAAUUAAUAUAAAAUUUUUUUUGAUAAAAAUAAAUAAACUUAUAAUAUAGAAUAUGAAUAAUAUAUCUCACCGGUUAUUCUCAUUUCAAACCCUAAAUCGGAAGAUAAAGAGGAAAAGAAAAAAUAAUGAUUUGAAGAAGUAGUUGUUCAAAUCAUUCCCAAUGCAAACUUUCAUAUUUUAGAAGAAGAAAUUGAAUUUAGAUUUAAGGUUUUUUUGUCAAUUUUGUACAAUAAGGGUUAGGGUUUGUUUUUCUAACAAAAAAUAAUAAUUUAUUAAUUAAAAAAAUUAAAGAUAUUAUAUUUUUGAUAUGUAUGUAAUUCAAAUGUAUUUUUUUUUUUUUUUUUUUUUAUUUGUUGAUAUUGACAAAAAUUUAUUAGGGCGCAUGAUGAGAUGAAAUAGUAAACACAAUGAGAACAGAAAGCGCACGAAGAUUUAGAAAGCGAGAGAGAAGAAGCCAAAGGGGCUUGAAAAACGUGGAGGGUGUUAUGGUCAUUUCCGGUUAGCAAUAAGUGGCAAAUAAUUUUUCGAGAAAGUCCAGGUAAGCACAAGGGGCAAGAACCGUAAUAAUCGAUCGUUUCACUGGCAAUCUUAAAACACGCUGCCCUUCGGAGUGGCUAUAUAACGAGCCCAUCUACGCAGAUCUCUCCCACACUUCUUGAAAACUUUCUGUUGAACGCAGAUUUCGCAGAUCGUUAUCUUCCUUCAUUUUGGGAUUCUUUCUCGCUCUAGGGUUUGCUUCCAACCAUCGCCGUCGGGGUUUUAAUCAAUUGCAGUAGGGGGUUUUAAUCAAUUGCAGUACGUUUUCUUUUCCGUUCUUUUCCGUUUUCGAUCGAUUCUUUCAAUGUUUUAUUUGAUUUCAAGGUUUGCCUGUGGUGAUUUUCCUUUUUCUUUUCUCUGGUUUGUUUUUUUAUUGAUUUUUGCGGGGUUUUUAUUUUAUUUUUAGGGUUCGAUCUUUCAAGAAAGAGUUUUGAAAGCAGUUACCAUUCCUGUGGUGGUCUUCUUUAUCUGUAAGUAUUGUUUUUUGGUUGAUUUUAAUGAAUAUAUAUAUAUCUGUGAUGAUACUGAGUUGAUAGUAAUCUUCAGUUGUUAUCUAUCUGUGUCUGUUUAAAUUUUGUGUUAUAAUCCAUCAAUUUGUGAUUCUGAAAUCAAAGCUGUUAAAAAAAAUUGCUUUUUUUUUUCUUUGUGCGGGCUUGUUUAUGUUGGCGCUAAACAAGAAUACAUUCUGUUUGGUUUCCCAGAAUUUAUUUAUUUAUUUAUUUGUUUUGGGGGAUUUUAAUUUGAUUUGAUUUAAAGAUCUUGCUUUUAUUAUGGAAUUGUUUGUUUGGUUUUGGCUAGUGGGGAUAAUGUAAACAUCUAUAUUAUAUCCAUAUAUAUAUAUAGUGGUUGGAUUGGAAUUGCUGGCCUCAAUUGCAUUUAUUCAGGCCGCAACACAAGGCUAGCAAAUUCAUCCCUAACUGUUUUGAUUUGUAUUCAUAUUUCUAAAACUUUUCCUUGCUAUCUUAUUCUUGUCUUAUUUUAAUUACAUAUAUUCACACUUAAAAACAUAUACACAUCUCCCUCUUUCCUUAUGAAUAUUGCCUAGGAAUGAUGUGCCCUAUGUUUUUUUCUGCUUUCUCAAUUUCUUUUUUUUGCCACUUUUUUUUCUUAUGUGGACAUUGUGCUGUUUUACUUCUGCUUGUGCAUCAUCACUGUUCAGAUUCAAUAUUUUUUUCAUAAUGUUAGAGGCUUUAUUUUGUUUUAUUAUUAUUAUUGGGUUUUGGGACUAUUUACCGGGUUAGUGGUUUCACAUUUCGUUUUUUAUGAUGGUUUGUGCAGGUGAGACUGAAUGAACUAAUUCUCAUGGAGUCGAAAUGUGCGAAGAAAAAGUCUAGUAGUAGUAAAUCUAUGUUCUACGAAGCUCCUCUUGGUUACAGCAUUGAAGACAUUCGACCAAACGGUGGAAUCAAGAAGUUCAGAACUGCUGCUUACUCCAACGUGAGUAGUUCUACUGUAAUUUUAAUUCUAUUGGAUGUUACAUGAUAACAAUUUUUGUGCUUGCAAAAUGAAAAGAUUUGUGCAAGUUAUACGUAGCAAUGUUAUCUAACUUUUUCCCUUACCUUCUCUUUUAUAUAUGCAGUGCGUCCGAAGGCCAUCCUGAGAUUCCCUUUAGUGUUUACAUAACCACCUGAGGUGGUUCAUAGUGCAGUUUACUCUAUUUAGUAUUUCUUUUAUUUUCUGUGUCCCUCCCCUUGUUCUCUCACUCGUUCUCUCCCUUUCUGAAACUUCAUUUGCUCCUUCAAAAGUAAGAUGGCGUUGCCUGUUUCUGCAAUUGGAUUUGAAGGCUAUGAAAAGAGACUUGAGAUAUCAUUUUUUGAGCCAGGAAUCUUUGCUGACCCUGUUGGGAUGGGUCUCCGUUCAUUGUCUAAAACACAAUUGGAUGAAAUUCUAGAGCCAGCUGAAUGCACUAUAGUCUCUUCAUUGUCAAAUGAUGAUGUUGAUUCAUAUGUCCUUUCUGAGUCUAGCCUUUUUGUUUAUCCUUACAAGAUUAUCAUCAAAACUUGUGGGACUACAAAAUUACUUCUCUCAAUCCCACCCAUCCUUAAGUUGGCUAAUAGUCUUGAUCUUUCUGUGAGAUCUGUGAAGUACACUCGUGGAAGCUUCAUAUUUCCUGGUGCACAAUCAUUUCCACAUCGUAACUUCUCUGAAGAAGUAGUUGAACUGGAUGGUCAUUUUGGCAAGCUUGGAGCAGGCAGCAAGGCUUACAUGAUGGGUAGUCAUGACAAGCCACAGAAAUGGCAUGUUUACACUGCAGCUGCAGAGUUUACUGGUCGAUUGGAUCCAGUUUAUACUCUAGAGAUGUGCAUGACUGGUUUGGACAGGAAGAAAGCAUCUGUCUUUUACAAAACUGAUACAAGCUCGGCAGCUGUGAUGACUGAAAACUCUGGUAUUAGGAAAAUUCUUCCAAAUUCUGAGAUAUGUGACUUCGAGUUUGAUCCGUGUGGUUACUCAAUGAAUGCUAUUGAAGAGGAUGCAAUUUCUACAAUUCACGUCACACCGGAAGACGGUUUCAGUUAUGCUAGUUUUGAAGCAAUGGGCUAUAAUCUCAAUGAUGAUAGUUUGACCCAGAUGCUUGAGAGGGUUUUGGAUUGCUUUCAGCCUGCUCACUUUUCUGUGGCACUGCAUGCUGAUGUUGAAGGCAAGAAACUUGAAUAUGACUUUCCCCUGGAUGUGAUGGGAUACUAUUGUGAGGGAAGGAGCUAUGAAGGGCUUGGGAAGGGUGGUUCAAUCAUCUACCACAGCUUUAUGAAGUCUGAAGAGUGUGGCUCUCCCAGGUCAAUUUUGAAAUGGAGAGAGAACGAGGAAGAGGAGCAAGUUCUUAAGAAAAAGUGAUGGACUGGAUGUUGCGGUCCUUUUUUUACUCUAUAUAGAAUAAAUGAGGGUGUAGGGGCACCAGUAUGAUUUAUGGUUUAUGUUUUAGCUGUAUUGGUUUGGUUCUUAUCAGUUUGGGUUUUAUGUCUUUAUGUUGAUUCUCAGGUUUAAGUGCUAGACCUGAUACUUUAUAAGUAAACUGCUGCUUGUUUUUCAUUAUAUCUUUUAUUCAAAGAUUGAAAGGGAUGAUGUGCAAAUGUGUGUUUGUUCAUUUACUUAGACCAUGGUACUAGUAUUAGGUUUGGCUUCCAAUGUUGUGCUAUGCAAAAUUGGUAUAGCGAAGCCUUCCAUUUCUAGUGAGUGAGGCCUCUUGUUGACGGAGGAAUAUCAACAGGCGUAUAGAAGGAAAUCAGGGAUCUGACCAUGGGGUAUUCUUUUACAGGCACACUUGGUGGUCUAUUAAAUUUUUUGAAUCUUGCUAAAUGUAAUGGAACACAUACCACACCCCUCUUUUUUUCAUUCCAUUCCUAACCUUGAACUAAUGACAAAUGUUAUAAUGAAUUUAGCUGUGAAAAUGUGUGGUCACUGGUGACCGAACCGACCCCCCCACCUUUGAAUCUUUAUCUUGUGCGUCCAUAGCCUGCUUCAUUCUCUUAAAUUUGCACCUCCAUUUGUUUAGUUUUUUCUGGAGCCACAUAACAACACACGUCAUUUUCUGAAAGAGUUGUGGAGGUGGCGUUAUCAUAUUAGGGGUUUCCAGUUUCUGGUUGGGUGGAAUUUGUUCCCCAUCAUUUUCCUUUGAACACCUAAGCUUUGACAAAAAGUUUGGGCGUGACUCUCUGAAAGGAAAAGAUGAGAGAACCCACCGCUCUUGAGGUGGUCCCAUUCAUUCAACUCCAGAGGAGUCAGUUUGUUUUGGUGGAUGAAUUGUGGACCUCUUGUGUUUCAUCAAAGCCCUAAUGGAACAGAAAAAAGGCAUCCAUCAAGCAGCCAAACUUGACUAUGGAAUAAUCCAGUAACACAUGUACGUUCAUAUGCUGAAAAUAGGGGAAGAUUCAAACAAAGAAUUUAGAAAUAAAGUGGCAACAUGCGCUGGAUCCGCCCAAGUAGGGAGACACAGCUUAGGCUGAAAAGGACGAUAGAAAUUGAAUGGAAGUUGCAUGGAUGGUCACACUUGAGUCUUUCGACUCUUUCCACGUUAAAAAGAUUCAUGGAUGGGUUUACUUUUGGGGUCACUCUUGUUUAACCCUUUCAAUCAAUUUAUUGUCAACUCAUGCGAAUGGUGAGUAAAAUCGGCUGCCCUCUAAUGCCAAUUCAACAAGUGGAACCUCACAGGUCAAUGUAAGCUUUUCUUUUCGUGUCAUUUGCAGCAGAGAAUAAGGAAACUGCAAUUCCUUUUUAAACUAUUUCUGCAUUUCAUCUUCCAUUCCCGUCCCUUUUUCCAAAUUGAAAGAUAUCAACCCAUUCAGAAGUUUUUGCAACCCAAUCAUCAAAGAUUUGACAUUUUCAAAUUCUUAUCCGUAAUUCACUAGAAGCUCUCUGGGAAGAAAAGAUGCCUACGCAAGAGAUAUCCGACAAUACAAACAAGGAAAAUGAUUGAAUUGAGGAACUCACUUCCAUUCCCUUCUAUUCAAAUUGCAUAACUUCAAAAUAACAGCAUAUAAAGAAGCCCUAAAACAUAUCUCACAAGCAUCUGGUUCCUUUCUCAAUAGGUGGGCAAAGGCAUAUGCUACCUCUCUUCCAGAAAAUGAUAACACAUCAGGAAUCUACAGACAAACCAUAGAAGACAAAAUUUUCGUUGUAUAUUCCUAAUAACAAAAUUACACUGCCAAUUUUUGCAGCUUGAACCCACAGACUGUUUCAAAUAGGGACUUGUAAAUAUGGCAAUGAUAAUUCUACAUCUUAAGUUGUAAAAUUCUAGACAAUAAAUAAGCAAGAAAAAUGGGAAGCAGGGGCUUCUUUGUAAGGGGGUUGGGGCAUUCAAUAAGGCCGAAACUUCCUUGCAGCUCUCAGUUGCUGUAUCCGCUUUUUAUCCUGCUCAAAUUUGCUUUGCAGCAUCAUUAGCUCUGCAGGGAAUUAAAAAGACGAAGUUAAUUAAUGGAGAGAGUAGAAACCUAUGUCUUGUAUCACAUGUUCUAAUUGUUAAUAUAGUGGAGAAAUAUGAUCUAUGUAAAAGACAAGUCAAACCAUAUAAUCACAACCAAACCAAGAUAUGGCCAACAAUGCAUUGAGUGCAUGUUUGCCUUGGGUUUAAGUUGUCACAAAAAUUUAGAAGGCAUGUUAUGAUUGGGAACCUCAUAGAAUGAACCAGAAAGUAAUGGUGGUACAUGUUCCUCCUAGAGUCAUGAUUACAGAAUUUAUGCCAAAACAAAAGGCUUGUGAACUACAGCCUACUGCCAAGAAUUUUAAAACAAGAAUAUGAUUUUCUUGAGGGAAAAAACACCAAGCUUGGUGCAAAUAUAUUCUGAAGCAUAAAAAUCUCUUCUUCAAGGUCCUCCAGAAACUUAAUAUCAAGAUCUCCAAUUAUGCCCAUGUAAAUCAUUUCUCACAUCUAAUUUGAUAAUAGUCAACAAUCCAAUUGAAAUCUAGAUCCUCCCCCCUCCCCCACCCAAUAUGAAAGAAGAAAAGGGAAUUGGCAGUGGUUGAGAAAAUAAUAACUCAUCAUUGAGAUCAGAAAGAGUCGACCAGAAAUGAGAAGCACACAAUGGUUUUUGGAAAAAAAAAUAAAUAAAUAAAAAUUUCCAAUUCCACCUUCCAUUUUCUAACUGGAGAUCACAACACUCAAAACAGACAUGAAAAACUUCAACUAUUUUCUAAAAUAAAAAUUUCGAUAUUCCACCAUUAAUUUUUAUUUACAACUACAUGUUUCAGCUAUGCACCAACAGAAAUUUCUGGACAAAAACAAUUGAAAUAAAUUUAUCAAUGAGAUGUAACAUACCAUUCCUCUGUGCCUCUCUUCUCUGAAAGCGAUAGAAAUUCAGACCAAUUUCUUUACUUUUCUUCUUGCCCAUUUUAUCCAUCACAGCAGCUUGGGCAACAGAGCCCACCGCAAUCCCACUUUCAGAAUCUGUUGUCUUUUUCCUCCCUUUAUGAUGUACAACAACAGUCCAUCCCCCUUCUGAAGCACGGGCUUCCCUUUCUUUUCUUGCCUGUAUGCAUCAAAACCAGAUGAAUGAGAACAAAUGUGAGCCUAGCUGCACCUCGCAAGGAGUGUGAUCAUCGAAGUUGUAGUGAAAUGAAAACAUGAAUUGGUUCAAUAUAGGAAAAUAGAUAAUCAUAAAUCAUUCAGAUACAUAUCAAUCAACAAAUAAUUAUUCAUUCAAAAAGGGGAAAAAAUGAUAUAGCAACCCACACACACAUCAGCCAAAUGAAGACAUAAAUUGGUUCAAUAAAAGGAAAUAUAUAAUCAUAAAUCAUCCAGACACAUAUCUAUCAAUAAAUAAUUAUUCAUUGAAAAAAAAAAAAAAAAGAUAUAACAACCUACACACACAUCUGCCAAUCAAAAUGCCAACACUCACAUGCAGUUAAUAUUUCAUUCUAUACAAGCAGCGACUAGAAAUAGACACAAACAAAUAGUUAAUAAAUAUACAUAAGGAAUACAUGCACAAACAAUUAACAUGCAUUUAUGCAUAUUUGUUUUGAACCACUGAACAUGUGACCUAUUGGUUAAGACUCAACUUGUACUAGAAUGGGGGUUGAUAAGAUAUACGCUAGAGAGAAAACCACCUGUUCCUCUUCUGCCUCAUGAGCAGUUAUAAACUCAUCAAUCCUUUGUUGCAAUAUCUUCAGCCCUGGUCUGCUCUGAUGGUAUUCCAUUAUCCAUUCUGCAGGACAAAUAAUCAUGCAUGAAACCAACCAAUAAGGCAUCUGUAUCAAUAAAUAAAACUCAAAUACAUGCUUUGAAAUGAACCAAGGAAAGAAAAAAGGAAAAUUUUCUAAAAUUCCACAUGUUGAUCUUGUUAAAAAUCAAAUAAGGACAGAGCUACAUAUUUUUCUCCUUUUUAAAUUCAUAAAAUAUGAGAGUUUUAGUAAAGGCAAGCCUCAUUAAGAGAAAGAAAGAUUAUGCAACCUAUAAGAAAAGCAGAUUUAUGUAAAUGUGAGCAAGAGAAGCACAAACAGAUUGCAUACUUAUCUGAGUGUAACUGCCUAAAAAAUUCCACUGUCACUAGAUUGUAUGCACAUUUAAAAACAAAUAACCACAGACAAAAGAAAGCAUGUUUCAAGUUUAACAGUUCAUACUUUUCAUUCCUUUUGAGCAAUCUUCAUCCCCUGAAGAGAUAUGAUAGACCUCAUCUGGUUCAUUUUCCACUUGUUUUUUUGAUGAUUUUGUAAAUUUCUCCUCCUUAUUUUUUGCAGCUUUCUUCGACUUACCUGAAGAGGAAAAGAAGGGAGGAAAAAAAAGAGACAAGAAAAGCAAAUAAACAAGAGCACAUUCAAAGUACAGCUGAACAAUGGUUUUAAAGUAUUUAUUUCACUCAGUAAAAUUUCAUAUAGGCAAAACAAAAAUCAUUUAUUUACUUGUUCUCAUAUCUACUGCAACACUAGUCUCCUCAGGCCUGUUGGAAUUCUCAGUUUUGCUUUGAGUUUUAGAUUGGCCUGGGCCUGCUACUUCCUCUGAUAAAAUAAAAAUAAAGGUAAUUAGCUUAAGUAUGUUCAACAGCGGAAUAAAAGAUAGUAUAACUUGUACUUAAAUAGCUUUUUCGUGUCUGGCAUACAACUCAAAGAAUCAUCAAACUAAUGAACAGGCCAAACAUGUGAUGACUGUGCAUAGCACAGCUUUUCUUGACACUUAUGAAGAAAAAAAAAAAGCAAAGUUUUUCUUUACAACCAGAAUAACAAUAUCAAGAUUUAACUCAAAUGUUUAACAAUGAUUUCUGCCCCCUUCUUCUUUUACAAUAUUGAUUAAAAAUUUUUUUUUUUUAUCUCUGUCUCAUAUUACACAGAAUCUAUAGUUUCUGUCCACAUAAAUGGCAGCAUGGUGCUUGAGUAGGCCCCAAUAUCAUCUCAUAUUAUUGCAAAAGCUUUUGCUGCUUCUUUUCCACACUUUCAUAGGUUCUAUUUUAAAUUUUGAAAGGUUUAUACUUUAAUGGGCUCACCUAAUAUUUAAACAGGGUAAAAAAAAAAAAACAGGAUAAUUGAUAAUUCUAGCUUGUCUGUUUUAUUUAAAUUUCUCAACAAAGCAAAUAAAAGAAUGAAAGCAGCAACAAAGAUGAUGGAAUAUUUUAGAAAACCAUUUGUUUCAUCAAAAUUACCUUCUGGUCUAUCAACUUUGCCAAGCACAACUCUAUUUUUCUCCUCAUUUUUUCUGUUCUUUUUCCUUGAUGAUUUAUUCUUUUGCCUUUUCCUUUCUCCUUCAUUUGACUUAUCUUCUGGAGACGACGGAAGUAAUCCAAUAAGCAAGAAAAAAAAUUAAAUAAAUAAAACUCCAAAACAAUUUCUGCAACAUUAUUUAGAUGCAUCAUUUAGCAUGUCAAGCAUAGUUUACCUUCAAUACUGAACUUAACAGCUUCGCCAGCAUGAACUUGAUUUCCCUUUUCCCUUUUUCUUUUCUUCUUCCCAGAAGAUUUAUUUUCUUUAUUUUCUUGUACCACUUUGUCUACAUUUUCCCCUGAGACAAAAAAGAACUUCAGUUCACUGAAUUCAGUUUCAACUAGAGACAAGCUUUGGAAGAAGCUGUCCUUUUUUAACAAGUAAAUUGCAUUAAAUGGUGUCAAAAAGCUGGUGCAACCUGUAUGUGCACUGUAUACAGAGCUGGGUACAAAGCAGCAAAAUAAAUAAAUAAAAAUAACAAGCAAAAUACAUCUCCUUCAGAGAUGACAAAAGCUUUGAGGAUGGGUUUUUUUUUUCUAUAUCAAAUCAUUGUAUUAAUGUUUUCUCAAUGACCUAAUUGAAAGAGGACAUUGAAGUUCAACUGGGAGAAGUAAUCCAUACUUUCAACAGGCAACAGGAAGUUGAUUAAGAGCAGAGGUCCCAAUUAUAUUGGAUGUUUUCUAGAAUUCAUGUAUAGCCUUAUGCACAUUGAUAGAUCGGUCACUCCUUUAAGCAGCAUGUAAAUAUGAAAGGGCUCAACAAGAGGAUUCUACUAUUUCUUUGAUUUCAGCUAAGAGACACAUAGUUUGCCAAGAAUGAACUUGGACCUUCAUGCAUUGGAAUUUUAUUGUUUACCAUCAUUUUAGAUCUUUUCAUGGCUUGGUUUGCUGUAGUUUUCUUCUAGACAGCAUUUGAGAAUAAAUCCAAUCUUUUUUUUUUCAUUGGUCAGCUUCCACCUGCAGUCCUGGAGCUGACUCAACAUACAUCCAUGUCCAAACAGCCCUCUUUUAAAUCUCUACUAGUUUAAAUUUUUGCCCAUCAAUAGCAUCAGAAGAUAUACCUCCAAUGUGCCAGUCUCUAGUAAAAUACUUCUCUCUUUGUCAUACAAAGCACAAUCAGCAUGCAUGUGCAAACAGCAAAGUGAAACGCAGCAGUGGAUUGAGUGUUCAGACAGAAACAUUGGUUGGAGAGAUCUGUGAAUUUGUGGAUAUGGGUAUGUAUGGAGAACCCAUAUAGAUGGUUUGCAAGCUAAGACUAAAAUGUCAAGAUUUUUAUGGAGUGAAAUUAAAUUUCAACUCAUUGGACAUGAGACAACAUGACUUCAUGUAUGCUUCAAAGUGCUGAUCUUGAUUCUUCUUACUUAUCCCAUAGUGUAUAGACAAACUGGUGCCAUAGGUUUUAAAGCAUGAAGAAGGUUGAAGGUUGUACUAACCAAGAAUUAGGGGAUAUCAGGAAACAAAGAUUAUUAAAGCCUUGAUUAAGUCCCAAAGGGCAGAUUUAGUGUGUCUUCAGGAAACAAAGAUCAAGGAGAUAAAGGUUGGGAUAGUGCGCAGCCUCAGUAUGGGUAGAUGUCUAGAAUGGGGUGCAGCUAAUUUGAGGGGCACGGCAGGAGGAGUUAUGGUUUUUUGGGAUAAUAGGUGCUCCAAUUGGUAGGAAUGGAAGUGGGCAAGUUCUCCAUAUUGUGUAGGUUCAAAAGCUGUGAGAAUGAUUUUUGUUGGACUUUUACAAGAGUGUACGGUCCUACAAGGAGGGGGGAAAGGGAAGACUAAUGGGAAGAUUUGGGAGCAAUUAAAGGUCUUUGGAGUGAUCCAUGGUGUGUGGCUAGCGACUUUAAUAUGAUCCGUUUCCCAACUGAGCUCAGUAGAGGGGGUAGACUGUUAGUAGCCAUGAGAAGGUUCUCCAAGGUAAUUGCUUGGGGGGGCUUUUACUUGGAGUGGAGGAAUGAAUAAUCAAGCUAAGUCGAGGCUACGUCGUUUCAUUGUGUCUGAGGAUUGGGAGUCACUUCAGUAGGGCUGUGCAAUGUGCUCUUCCCAGACCAGUGUUUGAUCAUGCUCUCAUUCUGCUAGAUGGAGGUGGGGUAAUGAGGGGUCCAUCUCCUUUUAGAUUUGAGCUCAUGUAGUUGAAAGAUGUUCAAGGAUUUAUUGAAAUGCUGGUGGGAGGGGUAUAGGUUGAGCAGAUCAGCAAGUUUCAUCUUGGCAGAAAAGUUGAAAGUCUUAAAAUUGGAUCUGAAAAUCUGGAAUAGAGAGGUGUUUGGAAAAGUUCAAUUCAGAAAGGAUUUGGCUUUGGCAUAGUUGGCCCACAGGGAUUCUAAGGAUAGGUCUUGUACUCUGUCUUUGGAGGAGCUGAAUGCCAUAAAUGAAGCUAGGGAGAAGUUUAAAAAAUGGAUCCUGCUAGAAGAAAUUUCCUAGAGACAAAAAUCAAGGAAAGUGUGACCGAAGGAAGGGGAUAGAAAUACCACGUUCUUUCAUAGCAUGGCUAAUGCCCAUAGGAAAAGGAAUUCGUUGGCCAGAAUCAAGAUAAAUGGGUCUUGGAUCAUAGAGGAUGCUGAUAUCAAGAAUGGGGUGGUCCAUGCCUUCAAACUGUUGCUCUCUGACUCGGGGAAUUGGAGGCCCAGUUUAGAUGGGAUGCAGUUUGAGAGGUUAGGAGAGCAAAAGGCAACAAGGUUGGAGGAGCCCUUUUCAGAGGAGGAGGUGUUUGGGGCUCUAAUGUACCUUAGCUGUGAGAAAGAUCCAGGACCGGAUGGUUUUCCAAUGGCUUUUUGGCAGCUUUCAUGGGAGCUUGUGAAAGAAGUCAUGAGUUUCUUUAGGGAGUUUCACGAGAAUGGAAGAUUUGUGAAGAGCUUAAAUGCAACCUUUCUAGUGUUAAUCCCAAGAAAGAGGGGGUAGAGGAUUUAAGGGAUUUUAGACCAAUUAGUCUGGUGGACAGUUUGUAUAAAUGGUUGGCUAAGGUGUUAGCCAAUGGGCUAAAAAAGGUGGUUGGAAAAGUGAACUCAAAGGCUCAAAAUGUUUUUGUGGAGGGUAGACAAAUUCUGGAUGCUUCUCUUAUUGCUAAUGAGGUCAUCGACUCCAUUUUAAAAAAGAACUGUUGUGGCAUUUUGUGUAAGCUUGAUAUAGAGAAAGUUUAUGAUCAUGUGGACUGAACUUUUCUACUUUUGGUUUUGCAUAAGCUGGGUUUUGGUGAAAGGUGGAUUGGAUGAAUGAAAUGGUGCAUCUCUACAGCAAGCUUCUCUGUUUUGGUCAACGACACUCCAGAUGGUUUGUUUCAAAGCUCUAGAGGCUUAAGACAAGGGGAUCCCCUAUCACCCUACUUAUUUGUUGUGGCUAUGGAGGCUCUCAGCUGUUUGAUAAAAAGAGCAGUCAAUGGGGGCUUCUUAAAGGGCUGCCAAGUGAGGGGUAAGGGUGGAGAAGGGGUGAAUAUUUCCCAUUUAUUGUUUGUAGAUGACACCUUAGUUUUUUGUGAAGCCUCUGAGGAGCAGAUGACACAUCUAAGCUGGUUGCUGAUAUGGUUUGAGGCUAUUUCCGGACUAAAAAAAAAAAUUUGGAGAAGAGUGAGUUAAUUCCAAUGGGAGAGGUGAAUGAUAUUGAGGAGUUGGCUCUUGAGAUGGGUUGUAAGGUGGGCAGACUUCCAUAAUCUUAUCUUGGACUCCCACUUGGUGCCUCCUAUAAGUCUGUAGCGGUUUGGGAUGGUGUGGAAGAGAGGUUUCGAAGAAAAUUAGCCUUGUGGAAGAGGCAAUACAUAUCCAACGGAGGGAGGAUUACUCUUGUUCGAAGCACCCUAUCUAGUUUUUCCAUUCACUUUAUGUCCUUGUUGUGAAUUCCAAGGCCGGUUAGGUUUAGAUUGGAGUAGAUUCAGAGGAACUUUCUUUGAGGUGGAAGGACUCUUAAGCGAAAAACACAUCUAGUGUGAUGGGAUACAAUUUGCCUUCACAAGACUUGGGAGUGAAAAGUCUUUCCAUUCUCAAUAAAGAUCUUUUGAUCAAGUGGAGUUGGAGCAAUGCUACUGAAAAAGAGGCCCUUUGGAAGCGUGUUAUCAGUUGGAAGUAUGGUGAAGAAAAAGGGGGUGGUGUUCUAGGGAGGUUAAGGAGGGGUUUGGUGUAGGAGUUUGGAAAGCUAUAAGGAAGGAGCGGGGGCUUGUGAGUAGUAAACCUCCUUCGAUGUACGUAAUGGACAAGGGGUCAAAUUCUGGAAGGACAAGUGGUGUGGGAUUAAUCCGUUGUGAGACUCUUUUCCGUCUUUAUUUUCCUUAGCAUGUUCUAAGGAUACAUGGGUGGAGGAUGUUUGGGAUUUUUCUAUCCCUAGGGAAGGGGGUUGGAGCCCCCUUUUUUCUAGACCCCUCAAUGAUUGGGAAGUGGGAAGUGCAGGGAGGUCUCUUUCUUGCUUAGAUGGGAUGACGGUGAACAAGGACAAGAUAGGGUGUGUUGGACAAAGACUAAGAAUGGGAAGUUUAUUUUUUGAUAAGUAAGCAAAGAAUAUAUUAACAGGAGGCAAAAAGCUGCAAAGCAUACAGGGAGUAUACGAGGCGACUAAGGCCUCCCAACCAAAAAAGAACAAAACACCCCAACCCCUAAGUGGAGGCUAACCACUCCAAGAAGCCUAUAAGGGAGAUCGGCUCCACACCAAUGUACAAUUUAACCCAACCCCAAACAUUACACACAAAAGAAGUUUUUAACUUCUAAACUGCUAACACCCCCCCCCCCUCCCCUCCCUAAAAGCUAAUUUAUUCAUCUCCUACCAAAUCGUCCAAAAAAUGUAUAGCGGGAUGGACUUCCAUAGUUUUUUCCUUUUUUUUCCCACAAAAGAGCCAUUCCAGCUAAAUAAAACCUCCUUUACAGAUUCUGGAAAGGUCCACUGAACACCAAACAACCCAAGAAUGACAUCCCACAAUACUCUGACAAUUGUGCAAUGAAUUAAAAUAUGAUUUAUCGUUUCCUCUUCACAACCACACAAGAAACAACAAUUAGAGAACUGCCACCCUCUUCUCUGAAGCCUAUCCAGAGUGAGAACCUUCCCCCAAGCGGCUUCCCAUGCAAAAAAAGCAAUUUUGGUUGGAACUCUAUCCACCCAUAUAUUGCUAUUCGGGAACUCGACGACAAUGGGACUUGCCAACACGCUGUACGCUCUCUUGACUCUAAACAGCCCGUCUCUUCCUUCCUUCCAAAUCACCGAAUCUUCCUCCAACGUAACCCUAUGCUCCCUCAACACAUCCAACAAGUUGCCCACCAUAUCCAACUCCCAGUCAUUAAAGUCCCUUAAAAACCUUAAAUUCCACCCACCUUGGCCAAAAUUCUGGUCCCACAAUUCCUCCACCAUGACAUUCCUUUGGGCAGCCAUGGCAAAGAGAUUCGGGAAGCUUUGGAACAACACAUAAUUUCCGCACCAAGGAUCUGUCCAAAGUCUGAUUUUAUUGCCUUUUCUCACCUUGAACACCAUAUUUUCCCAACACCAAUCAGAUUCCUUCAAAAUCUCCUUCCAAACCCCUACUCCAAACACCCCAUUUGCCUUCCUUGUCCUCCAUCCAAAUUCCUCUUGCCCAUACUUUGCCUCAAGCACCUUCUUCCAAAGAUCCUCCUUAGCACGAGCAAACCUCCAAAUCCAUUUGUCUAGCAAGGCUUUGUUCAAACAAGCAAGCUUCCUUAAUCCCAGCCCUCCCUUUUCUUUAUCCACACACACCACCUCCCAAUUGACUAAGAAUGGGAAGUUUAUUGUGAAGUCGCUCUAUAUGGCUUUGGAACCGGAGGCUUCGAUUUCUUUUCCUUGAAGCAAUAUUUGGAGAACGUGGGUGUAUCCCAGAGUUAGCUUCUUCGUUUGGGAGACGACUUGGGGAAAAACCUUAACUUUGAAUCAAAUCCAGAAAAGGGGUGGUCUUUGGCGAAUAGAUGUUUUUCUGUCAUACUGAAGAAGAAUCCAUAGACCAUCUCCUUGUCCAUUGUGUAAAGACAAGAAUCUUGUGGGAGCUGUUGUUUGCUCUUUUUAGGGUGUCUUGGGUGUUAUCUAUGUUAGUUAGAGAAACUCUUCUAGGGUGACAUGGGCUGUUUGAGGACAAGAGGCAUAGGAAGGUGUGGAAAACCGGACCUUUAUGCUUAUUUUGGAUAGUGUGGAAGGUGAGAAAUAGAAUUGCCUUUGAGGGGUAAGAGUUAUCUAUCCAAAGGCCAAAAAGUUCGUUUGUUUCUUAUCUUUGGUCGGAAGCGAAGGGGUACUUAGAUGAUGUUCCUCUAACUCUUUUUAGAUUUCUAAAUUGGUUGGGUUAUUGGUGAGGGCGGGCUGGUUGUAUUUCUUUUUUUGUAUCUUGGUGUUUUUAUGGUGGAGGCUGGUGGUAGCUGUAUACUUUUUGUAUACCUUGGGGUGCUUUUUGGCAGCCCUUUUUAAUAUAUCUUCCUUUUUAUCUAUCGAAAAAAAAAAAAAAGGAAUUAGAGGAUAUCAGCAGCUUUUUCAUGUUUAUACCAGCAUAGCUUUAACCAUGAAAGAAUGUCAUCAAAAUCUAUGUCAGCCACUGAUCCUAUCAGUUUCAGAACACAUGCAAUCUAACAGCUAAGCCACCGUUAAAGCAUUAAUCUCUAAUAGCUAUGGACAUUAUAUUUCUUAUGUAUCUUAAAGAAUUUUCCUGGCAGAAGGUCUUUCUACAGCUACUUUUUUUUAAUAGACAACAAGAUCAUGUAUUAUGAAGCACCUAAAAAGAGUGGUUGUGCCCUACAUAUAGAGGCAGUAUACACAGGAGCAACCCAAAGCAAGCAACAAACAAAGAUAGCCCAAAAGAACAUGGCAAAGCUAACCACAAUAAAGAGCAUCUAGGAAAUUCAACAUAGAGGGUUCUCUAAUUCCAAAGAAUCUUGGGACCACUCUAAAAGCAACCAAAUGAAGAAAUCCUUUACUCUUUGAUGUGAAAGUUCUUCAUCUUCGAAAACCCUUCAAUUGUGCUCUUUCCAAAUACACCAAAAUAAGCAAAUUUGAGCCAAGCACCAAACUGCUGUUUUCUUCUUAUGUAACCCCUUAACUUUCUUAAUUUUCCAUUGUAGGAGAAGAUUUCUCACUAAGGCUGGAAGCACCCAAACCAAUCCAAAGACUGCUAACAAAAAGGUUCAUAGAUUUCUUGUCUUGUCACAAUGAAUCAGAAUAUGAUUGGCAAAUUCUUCAGUAUCUUUACAAAAGCUACAUUUAUUGACCAUUUUUCACCCCCUCUUCAUUAAAGUAUCUACAGUUAAGAUCCUCCCCCAUACAAUUUCCCAAGUAAAAAAAUAAAAAACAAGUUCUAAGAGGAGCACAGGAUCCCUAGAUUUCUUUGCCUGGAAAAACUAAAUUAUUCUCUGACCUUAGGGAAAUGUAAUAUGACUUAACACUGAAAUUUCCCCUUUUAUAAUCUUUCCAAGUUAAAGCGUCCUCUCCUUCUUGCACUUUUAAUGGGUGAAGAAGCUCCAAAAAAUGGGUGGCCUUUCUGCAGCUACUGUCUAGCCAUAUUUCACUAAUGUCUCCUUUGCAGCUAAUGUUCAACUUAAGAAGAAUUUCUAUCAUCCAGCCAAAGAUUUAAUCAUUAGGGUGUACACCAUAUGUUUUUGCUUCUUAAUCAAUCAUCAGAUUUGGUAAAGCACACAAAAUGUUUUCUUACCCUGCCAUCAUACAAUAUUUUAAAGAUUCUAUAGCACAUCAUAAGGAGACAACAUAUGAUUGCUUAGACAUCUACAACUAGGUUGACUUCUAGAAGCAUGGGCCAUUCUUUUCUUGAGAACAUUGUACAUAUGGAUGCAUAACUCAGCAUUAGUUUCCAGUUUCCAGUUUUCAAACUCCUUAUCAUCCAGCAACAAUAACAACAAUAAAUCCGACCCCAAUAAUUUUACUAAUGGCCAAUGGCACCUUCGCCUUAAUGCUUAAAAUCGGCAUUCAGAUUACCACUGCUCUAUUUGGUAUCUUAGAAAACGCAGGAAAACAAAAGACGCCAUAAGCAUUGAAAGGCAAUUUUAAUCAUCAUAGUUAGCUAAAAUCAAUCAAACAAAUGACUAAAAAAACCAACGAAACUCAGGAUUCAGUUUCUUCAGCAACAACAGCCAAACUACGGGAAAAUUAGAAAAAAAAAAAAAAAGGAAAAGGAAAAAGAAAAAGAAAACAUGAGCGAGACAUUACCAAUUUCCAAGAGCUUGGAACUCCUACAGUUAAGCUUCUGCUUCUUCUUCUUCUUCUUCACUUCCAUGUCGUUUCCCAUCUCUGUCUCCUCUCCCUGUGGAGGUUAGGGUUUAGGCGUUGGUUUUGUUUCCUCCGUAGAACAGACCAAAUGGGUCUUAAGCGCCGGGCCGAUGUUUAUAAUCCACGAUCCAGCCCAAGGCGGACCCAUAUUUUAAGCCUAUGGUUUUAAAUUUAGAUUUUUUUUGCCACUACGAUGUGGUACCAUGCUUUUUUCAUCAUUUCCCUUUUGCAAAUUAGCUUAUGUUAUUUAAGCCCAAUAAAAUUUUUAUUUAUAUUUCAAAGACUUUCUUUAAUAGUAGUUUAGUAUGAAAUUACGGACCAGAUUAUUUCUUAUGAUAAAAAUAAAAUUUUAAAAAUAAAUUGCGAGAAAACGUUGGAUAUUAUUAAACAUUGGAAGGAAAGAAACCAUAAAAAUAUUUUAGGACCAUAUUUAUUUUUUGCUUAAAUAAAAAUAAAUUACUUAUGGAAAUAUAUAUAUUAAAAUUAAACAUAUAUUGUAUAGUGAAGUUGAUAAGCAUCAAUGAGGAUUACAUUACAAACCGUUGAUUAGGACUGUAAUUUAGGCGAGCUGGUGGAGUUGAUGACUAACUCAAGUGUAACCUGAAUUAAGAAACAAUUAACUCAAGUUUAACCCAACUAAACUUUAACUCGAAGUACUCAACCCAAAUUCAAUUCAAUCUCAUAUUUUUAAGUUCUAGUUGUUCAAAUUGAUCGAGUUGACUCCAAGUUCGUUGGGUUGCAUAAUUCAAAAUUCAUCUAUAAUAUUUUUAAAUUUUUUUAAAUGUAUUUAUAUAUAUAAAAAUAAAUAGUAAAUAAGACAAAAUUUCAAGAUACUAAUAAAAGAAUAAAUAUAAAUUUAUAUAUUUUUCUAGAAAAUAGAAAAUAUAUGAUAUAAUGUAAUUUAAUAUUUUAUUUUAAAAAUAGAAAAAGAAAAUUAAUUUUAUUAUAUAGGAUAAUAUGCAUUAUAAAUAUUAUAAAAACAUUAAAUGAGAUUCAGGUUAGGCUCGAGUUAUUUGAAUACGAGUCUAAGCCCAAUUUAAACUGAGAACAUAAGUGAUAUUAAAAAUUAUUGUUUAUAUCCAUCCAACACAUCAUAUUGGAUUUGAAUCAGGUUAGAUCAAUCGAUCCAAGUUACACCUCUACCGUUGAUUAAAAUAAGAUUGCAAAACUUUAUUAUUUAACUAUAAAGAUAACAUAAAUACCGUUUGCAAUUAUUUAUCAAUUAUAAUUCAUAAAACUAAAUUAAUUUUAUUUGAGUUUUUAUUUUUAUUGUUUCAAUGUUUUAUUAGGUCUUCUUGUUUUGUUUAAAGCUUCUAUUUACACUGGAAUUCUAAUUUUAUAAGAAUUCACGCUUAAGCUUUCAUAAUGAAUAUGGGAAUUCAAAAUUUUCAACAACAAUAUCGACAGGUUAAAAGCAUUGAAAGAGAAACCUAGCUCCUGUGUUUGGUUUCCAUGAAAAUAAAGCAAUUAUAUCUCAUUUUUUGCUUUCAAAAAAUGAAAAUCAUAGGCAUGUUUUGUAAGUGUUUUAAAAAAUAGUUUAUGAGAAUAGCUUUUAAAAACCCUUUGAUGUUUUGUUUUACAAAAUCAAAAGUAUGUUUCGAAUCUGAAAUAAUUUUAAUAUAUUUUUUAUGUUUUUAUUUAAAAACAAUUUUUAUAUAUAAUUCUUUAUUUUUAAUCAUUUCUCAUAUUUGUACAAUUAUUCUUUAUACCAAUCUAAAAAAAUUUAAAACAAUUAAAACAGAAUUUUUAAAUAUAGCAUAUUUUCUGUUUUUAAGAAUAAAAAAUUAUUUUAUAUUUUUAAAAAUUAUUUUUAUUCUUCAAAAAAUAAAUAUGAAAACAAUCUCAGAUCAUCAAUUUACUUAUUUUAGUCUAAAAUUAAAUUAGUGGGGAAUACGUUUUUCCUAAUAUAUAUUAUACUAUAUUUAUAUUCCUAAAAAAUUUAGGUCUUAUUUAAUCACCAAUUUUUGAAAACAAUUUUCUGUUUUUCAAAAUAAAAAUAUAGAAAAAAACUUUUAACAAUCAAAAAACACAAAAAUAGUUUUUUUUAUCUUAAAAAUGGAAAUACGAUGUUUUGAAACAAUAUUUUUUUUUUAAUUUUACUUAUUUUUUAAGAUUAUUUUAAAAAAUAAUUAUAUAAAUAUCAAGAAAAAUUUAAAAUAAAAUACUCCAUAUAAAAGAUAUUUAUAUUUAUAAAGAUACAAUACAUGCCAAAAAUAUUUUACUUUUCAGAAUGAUUAAUUUUCUUUUUGGGACAAAGCGACAGGUUUCUUGAUUGCAACGUGGGCAUUGCAGAAGAGCAGUAAUUUUCUUGUCUGAAUCCAAGAAACCGAACCCAUUAAGCCCCCUGAAACUUCUAACGACCUUUGAAUUGAUCAAAGCAUCUCACUUCCAUGGACAAACCCCCCGGGUCACUGGCCUCAUUUUUCUACAACAGUUGGGUGACACAUGUUAAAACUCAUUCUACCGAGUGAUUGGUUUCUGACAACUAUAAAUAUUAAUCUCCACAAUGAUGGUCGGAUCAUCGAUCUGAAUCACCCAAGUUGAGUUUCUGAGCCUCAGUUUCCACCUUCAAGAAAACAAAGAUGAGCCAAUCUGACAAGACGAGUUUCCAAGCCGGUGAGGUCAAGGGCGAAGCGAAGGUGAUGAUGAUGACUGAUGCAUGCCCUUAUAGCUGCUUAGCUUUUAUCUGUUUUUCUUUCAUGCCCAUGUAGGGGUGAUGGUGACAAAUCUUCUUCUGGUUCGUUUCAGGAGAAGGGGAAUCAGAUGAUGGAUAAGGUCAGCAAUGCUGCCCAGUCCACCAAGGAAACAUGCCAGGAGGUUCAAGUUUUCUUUAAUUUCUUGCUUUUUUUCCCCUUCCAUGAACUCCAUUAAUGCCGACAUGAGGCUUCAUUUACAAUCCAUUCAUAUUCUUAGACAAUCUUGAGAGUAAGCUUACAACUUGGACCGGUUGAUCAGAUUGAUGAGUAACCCAAGCCUAACAUAAAUUAAGAAACGAUCAACCACCUAACACAAGUUCAAUUCAAAUAUUGAAAAUAAUUAUCCAAACUCAUAUAAAUAUCAAACUGAAUUCCGGUUGGGUCGAAUCGAUCCGGCCAAGUUGUACCCGUACCUCUCUGGUGAGGAUUUCCAUUUUUCUUUCUUUGUCAAGUUAUUAGUGUUCACAUAUGGUAUUCUCCUGCAUGCAUGCUGCAGGCUGGUCAGCAAAUUAAAGCCAUGGCACAAGGGGCUGCUGAUGCUGUCAAGAAUGCUACUGGCAUGAACAAGUGAAGGCAAAAUAUGGCUGCCCUCCUCUCUCUCUCUGUCCUCUCUCUCUCCAGUACUGUCCCACAGACGUUUUCAUUUUGUAUUUGUUUUGUGUGUUUUCAGAUUCUCCUGUUGGAGAGCAUCUUGUUUGGUUUAAAUUCUUUGAAGUAGUUAAGAAGAGAGCUCCCUCUCCCAUGGGGCUCUCACCUUAGUUGACAAUUGAAUUCAUAAUAUGCUUUGAGAGGACCACCAUGUGUUCUUAAAUAUUCUCUAUUUCCAUUUUUAACUUCACUGUCCAUACUCUAUACUUUCACUUGCUUUCAUACUUUUACAAAUUUAUAUCCAUUUUCAGAAUUUGGUACAUGGGCCUAAGUAGAGCUCAAAUAGGGUGACUGAUUGGAUUUUAUUUCAUAAAAAUAUAAAAAUUUAUUAGUAUUUUAAUAAGAUAAACUAUUUAUAAAAGUGAGUAAUUUUUUCCUUUAAUCUAAACUCAAUGAAUAAAUGUAAAAAAAAUAUGUAUAUAUUUUAUGGAGAUGUAAUAGAAAUACAUUUAUUUUUUCAAGCAAAUAAAUUUAUUUUUGAAGAAUAAAUUUAUAAAAAAUAUAAUUUGGUAAGAUAUAAAUUUAAAUUGAUAAAAGGGGAAUCACAUAAUGAGUUGAAAUGUAUAUUAUAAAGUUAUUCAUAUAUUGAAUUACAAAACUGUAAUUCUCAAUAUGAUUAAAUUAUCCGUCCCCACAAGUUUUUAUUUUGGGUCAUUAGAUAUUGUUUAUUUUGACCUUUUAUGUAAAACUUUAAAUCAGUCUAAUUUUUUGAUACAAAUAUAAAGUCUUCAUCGUGUUUCCUAAAAUUAUAGGGUUUGCUAGAUAAAUAUAUACCACUUCUUUCGAGGGUGAGAUAGAUAAAGUCUUAUACCCAAAGUUAAGGAUUGGCUUUAAUACUAUUAAUUGUUGUGACUUGCUCCUCUUCCGUGUAAAUGUCAUCUAUUUGCACUCAAUAGACCCUUGUGAUUUUAAAACACAUCUACUCAACCGAAAAAAACUUAUUACAUAUAUGAUACUAUGAACUUCUUCUUCUCAAUGAUAUGUGAUAUCACAACUCUAUGAUGUUUCAAACUAAAGGCCAAGGACUCCAUAUCAUGUCACAUAUUGAGUUCAAGAAUCGUAACACAUGCAUGAUCCUAGCUAAAAAAACCAUGCUAUGACAAGUUAUACUAAACAAUAAUAAAAACAUAAACAUAAACAUAAUUGUUAGGAAAAUUGAGCUAAUUCAAUCUAAGGUAAUCACCUUACAAAGAAGGUGAAUAAGGCGAUGAUCUAUUUUUGCAAAUUUAAAUUAUGUGAAUGCAAUAGACAAUUAUAUGCAAAUAUAUAUAUAAAAAAAUAAUGUGAAAACAAUUGCAUAUAAAGUAAAAGAGUAUGGAAAAGAGAAUGUAAACACAAGAUUUUUAUAACGGUUCGACGUAACUCAGCCUAUGUCACUCUCCUUUAACUUCAAUCCCCAGUUUGAGGUUCCACUAAUUCAAUUCAAACCAAGUCUUUCAAGCAAUACAAUUAGACUAUGGUUACAAUCCACCCUUUUAGACUUUUGGUUCCAAACAUCCUUUACAAUCUUUAAAAGAUACCUCACUCUUGAACAACUCCUCAAGUGCUGCCCCACACUUGAGAAAUCCCUAAGUGAUACCUCACACUUAGAUUUUUCCUCUCAAAGAUUUACAAAUAAAGAUAAAAAAUAAUCUCACAAAAUCAUAAUACAAAAUUUAGGCUCAAAUGAUACAAAAUAAAUUAGGAUUGAAUGAUGCACUAAUGAUAUACAAGUUUUAGAAUAAUGGUGCACUAAAAAACACUCUCCCAAAGCUCAAAUAUAUUCAAAAAAAAUUUAGGAAGGUUAAACUCUUGAAACAAUGAAGAUUGAAAUCUUUUUUUAUAAAGGAAAAAUGUCAAACUAGUCGUUAGGGGUUCUUUCGAUUAAACUCUAGUUCGACCAGUUCACUAACUGUUAGCAUUUAAUGCAUGAUAAGUGACUGUUGAACCUCAACUGCCCCUCAACCAACCCUCAACCGAUCCUUAACCAAUUGAGGUCCAACCUUGACUAAUCAAACAAGUGUCUUAGAAUAGACAGAAGGUUUUUACACUUCUCAAUCGAUUGAGUUGAAUAUGUCAACUGGUUCCUCAUUUGGUUCAAUUGGUUGAGUCGUUUUUAGCUCAACAACCAUAUUUUUCAACUUAAAAUCUUUUAAUCAAAUUUGGAAAGCAUUUAAUACAAGGUUUUGUUACAAACAUAUAUAAAAUCAUCUAAUUUUAAAAUAUUUAAAACAAAAUAAUUCUUGGAUGAUUUUGGUGCAUAACUAAAGAAUGUAAUGCAUGAAAAACUUAGGGCACCAAUAACCUUACAAAGAGAUCCUAUAAAGCUUAGGUCUUGAAAAACACUUUUUUUUUAGGUCUUUUUCUUCUUAUUAAUCUCCAUUUGGCUUGAUUUUGUUUUGUGGUUGUCACUUUGGAAAUGUACUUAUCUAAUUAUACUUGAAAUAUAAUCAUUAGUUUCAAACCUUGUUUUGUUAUCAUCAAAACGAUAUUAAGCAAACCUAGGUUUCACAAUAAUUAAAAAAUGUAUUAAAUUUUCAAUAAAAAACUAAUGAAAAUAAAUAAUUAGUCUCUCAACAAUAAAUUUAAUAACUAUAAAAAUACAUUAAAUAAUAAUUCUAGAAAUCCUAAUCAAGUGGAGUCCUUCUAAGUCACCAAUCCUAAAAAUUGACCUAACAAAAACACCCCUACUAUUUUGAUCACUCAUUAUUGAUAUAAUUGAGACCUAAAUAGUGAGAUCAAAAGAAAAGGUUGAGCUCAAUAAGGAGAAAUAGGACAAUAAGAAGAAUCAAACACAAUGUAGAAUGAAACCUUGAGAGGUAUCACACUUUUAAAGAAAUUACUUAAAAAUUAAACUUAAUUAGUUUAAUAAUGAAUUUCAUUUUCUUCUGAAAAACUCCCCAUUAUUAAAUGGUAUCAAUUUAUUUUUCAAUUCAAUUAAAAAAUAAAGACAAUAUAACACACUUUCUAUAAUAAUUUUAUAUAUAUAUAUAUAUAUAUAAAAUACAUAGAUAAACAUUUUACUCUACUCUGGUACAUUGAUAAUUGUCCAAUUAUUUGUACUUAACAUUGUGCCUGAAUAGUUAGACUUACACUAGGUGAUUAGCCUUGAUUAUUCCUCUUACUAGUGGGUAGACCAAUUUCCCAUCAAUGGUAUAUCUAAGAUUCAUAACUCACUUACAAAAUGGGAUUGCAUUGUAUCACUAUUCUACCAAGGAUAAUGAAGAUCAAUAACUUAUCCUUUAUUAAUAGUGACCUUGAGACAAUUUCUUUAUAUUUUUAUUCAAUUCUCUCUAUUUCCAAGACAUGAAGAUAUAAACAAAUUCUAAAGAUAAUAUUAGAUGAUUCAAAGCUAUUCAUUUUACAUAAUCCUAAAAGAUGAAUUUGAAAUAUUAAAUCAAUAGGCUAAAUACUUAGCUUAAGCUACUUAAGUCAAUUUGAAGAUUUACCUCUAAACCAUAAGCUCUAAUAAUUUUUGUAUAGAAGAUUGAAAUAUAAUAAAAUAUAUAUACAUAGGGUUUCUACUAUGGAGGAAAAAGACCAUUCUAUUCUUCGUAUUUAUUCACUAAUUUCUCUAAUUCAAUUAAGUUUUAACCCAUGAGUCUGAUACUUAUCCAAAACUAAUUUUAUAGGUGAUAAUUUAUAAAAAGUCGAGUAAAAGGUUAAUUAAUUUACAUUAAAUGUUAGUUGUUUUGGGUCACUAUGAGUGGUCCUAACUCAUAGGUCAAUGAUGACAAUGAUAGUCGUACUAUCUCCUCCAUGGUCCAUGUGUCUUUGGAAGGUAAGGAGUUUUGGGUCACUAUGAAUGGUUUUUUAAGCUUUUAUUCACAAUCUUUUUAAUAGACAUCUCACUCUUGAAACAAAAAUUUCAAGUGAUAUCUCACACUUGUCAACACCUUUAGUGAUAUCUCACACUUAGCAAAUUCAAGUAAUAAUCCACAUAUGAGAAACUUAAGUGAUAUCUCAUACUUAGCAAACUCUCAAAGGUAUACAAAGAGAUAGAUGAACAACAACAUCUUAGUUACAAGUGUUAGCACAAGAAAUAAAAUUUAAACUAGGAUCAAUAAGGUGUAUGAAAAUGAAAUGCAAGUUUAGGCUUGAGGUAUAUUCAAAUAUUUUCCCAAGGCCCAAUACAUGAUUGAACAAUAGUUUAGAACAAUUCCUUCUCCAAUCAAUGAAGUUAUGAGCCUUUAUAUAGGAAUUGGGAGGUCAAACUAGCUAUUAGAUAUAACUACUCGUUGCUCUAAUUUAUCCCCACCCCACCCCCUAUGUUGACCUCCUAGCUUGUCAUUAUGCAUUAAAUGUAGAGUUGCAUGUGACAUUGCAGAGUAACUUGCUCCAUUGGUCUACAUACUAGUAGACCACCAGGUUAUUCCGGAAGGUAUCCCCAACUUAUUGCCAAUUCAAAUCACAUUAGAUGUACUUCACUAGGGCGUAACUAGUUAACCUCUCAAUUGAACCUUAGGUCGUCCAUUCAAGUUUUUUACUUUCUUUUUUAACUCUUUUCCAAUUUUAUAAUAUUUAUGCUUAAAGCUCUUGGAUUCCAUACAUUUUUUAAGACCCUUUUGAGUUAAAAUGACAUUAAUAAGGUCUCGAUUUUCAAAAUAUUUUUGAAGUAGAUUCUUUUGAAAAAAAAAUAAAAAUCAAGAGAGGUUAAUUAGGGUCUAUUCUAAGUAAGUUUAGGAGUGCUUAGGUAAAUGAAAUGCAUUCUUGACUUAGUGUACCCAAAAUUUUACAUACAAAUAACCUAAAGAUAGUCUUGAUAAAUGAACCUUUCUUAGUGAACUUUCAUAAUGAACCUUUUUCACUUUCCAUUAAGAGAUAUUUUACUUUUGAACACUAUUUCUUAGUUUACAAUAGAAAUCUAAAGAAAAACACUUCCUAGUUUGCAAAUUUUCGCUCAAGAAAUACAAGGCAAACUAAGAUUGAAGGAUGAUGCACUAAAUAAGCAAGUUGGAGAUCAACAUGGACUCAAAACACUUGGAAAAAAUAUUUUGGAUUGAUGAAUAGUAGUUUUAGAGAGCACUCUUAGCAAUAAAUAUAAGUUUUAGCAAUUAUAUAAAAGAUGGAAGUUUAAACUAGUCGUUAAGCAUAAAUAGGUUUGAUUGAUUAACCUUCUGGUUGAACCAAUUUGCUAGUCGUUAGGUAGUAGAACAAUCACAAGCUCUUACGCUAUUUCCAUCCUAUGAGAUAUCAUGGUACAUUUCUUGAGAACACUAGUUGUCACAUACUUUAAUCAAUAGUAACACAAUCUAUAGGGAACAUAUAACCACCUUAGGAUCUCAUUUAUAAGGUAAAGUUAUUGAAGACCUUAACAUUAACUCAAUAUUUUCCCAAAAUUGAGAGCCUAUGUAAUAUAGUAACUUGGUGAAGUUAGAGCUACUUGAUAGCCAAUGUCAAAACUUGUCAUAGGUCUUAUAUGAUAUGUAACAAUACACACUAGUGUCCUUACCAUGAGAAAACCACAAUGAUGACUAAGACAAGCCAUCUCUCUAAUUGGGAGGUAAUGCACUGCAACCUCCGAUAGAUUGCUUAAGUUUAUGAAUUAGUUAUGAACUACUCAUCAACUUAUAAAGAACUCAUAACUUAAAUAUUUUGUGCAACUUAUAAUGCACCUAAGUAUAACACAAGUGAUGUAGGUCUAAAUACUAAGAUAAGUAAUAAUAAAAUCAUUGAUAGAAAAGUGGAAAUUGAAAUCAUAAUAUAAAUAUGUUGAUGAAAUCUUAUUUUGUUACAUUAUGUCAUGUAUUUUAAGGGUCUUAUCCUUACAAGUAGAGCAUGUGGAGGUUAUGAAGUUAAAGCUACUAAUGUCUUAGAUGAUAUGUUUGUUUAUGUUGUUUCUGACACAUCAUAUUAUGUAAAGACUCUUCAUGUUGUUGAGAAUAAGAGUUACUAUAGGCUCUCAAGAUAUACUUUAUAAGAAGAGGGUAUUUGUCACACCUUGGGUUUUAGACUUAACAAUUGAUACUCAAAUACAACAUAAGUGCUUUAAAAAAUUUGGGGAUACAAAAAUUUAAAUGUUAACUUCCUACUUGAUUUUGUGCAAAGAGAUAGUAUGGAAACCUUUUAUAAAGAAGUUUACAUCCUGUAUUAAACUUUGUAACUAUUAGUUAACAAAAUAUGAUCUGUUUUACAAAAAGAACUUGUACUACAUUACUUUACAUAUACCAAACUCCCAUGGUUCACUACGGGUAGCCCAUACUACAAGUGUAGAUGACAAAUAUACAUUACAUCAUUCCUUCAAAAAGAUUUAGUAUUUGUAUGAUACAAAGGUAAAACCUCAAAAUACUUUCAAUGCGAGCAAACAACAUCCAAUCAACAGAAAAGCAAUGCUCAAGCAUUAUUUCUAGCAUAGGUUUUCUGACCUGCAUCUAAAGGUGGAAGAGAUAGGGUGAAUUCACAACUCAGUAGGAAAGUUUAUAUCCAUUAUAAGUAUAUCCUUAAAAACCUUGAAAUUAAACGUAUAGUAAUAUGCAUGAUAAACAUUUUAUAACUAUUAACAAAUAUGCAAUAAUGUCAAACAUGUAUGCAUGUGUUUAUUGGUUUCAUCUCUAUUUUUCCUCAUCCUUUCUUUCACGACUAAUAAACUGCUAACCCUUACCAAUGUACACAUCAGAUAUCAAUGCUCCACAAAUACUAAUUGUUUUGAUUUUCCUAAAGUCUAACCCAUUAACAAGUCCCAAGUGUCCAAAUAACCUAAUUAAUCACAUGUUUUUUAAUUUUUUUUUUAAUCAAACCAAAUUAAACAAAGAUGUAUGUUGAUCUUUCCAUCGAUAAAAUACUUAAGUUAAAACACUUUAAACCUUAAUUAAUUUUGAUUUAUAACUAAGACAUGUUUAUAACUAAGAUAUGUUUAUAACUAAUUACACUCAACUUUUACACAAACUUUACCAUUAAUUUGUUUCAAAAUAUCAUUAAAAACCCAAAUAUACUAAAAUUACUAAAUUAAUCUACUUCCUUACCUCAAAUCUUCACUUUCUCUCUUUAGAUUCUCUUUCUAACCCAGAUUGCUGGAAAGACAAGGCGCUAAAAUGAGGUUGCCAACCCUUAUAAAGGGUCACCAAGCAGCCAAGCAAGAGGUGACAAGCCGUAAGGUUGCUACUAAUCUCAACUUUUCCAUAAUUGUUGUUUAGUCCUUCAAGUUAUCUAAUAUUAAACCUAUAACUGCCCAUUAGUCUUUUAGGUUUUCAACUUUUCAUAACUCUAAUAAGCCCCUAAGAACCUAAUAAGCAUGCUUAAGUCAUUAACUAAUCCCGUUUAACCUUAAUCAAAGUUUAAUUCAUAAUUAAACAAGAUUAGUAUUAAACUAGUUUUAACAUUUAAGUAAGCACGUUUAAAGUUAAGUACUAAGAUAGUUAUUAUUGCCUAUUUAAUUCAUUAGGACUAGGUAUUACAUCAUUGACAUGUGAUACCUUUUAUUUUAGGUAUAAUGAUCGAGGGUUUUUUAAUUUAAAAGUGUUUUUGUUUUAUUUAAAAACAUAAGCUUCAUUAUUUUAAUGUGCAUACCCACUCUUUUUUUUUGGUUAACACAACUAGUGUUUUAUUAGUUUUUUUUUUGUUAAAUACUAGAUAGAUGAAAUUAUAGUUUUUCGUUAAAUAUAGGAUAUAUGUUAUUAUAUAGAUAGUAUAAUUAUUAAAGCAAGUUGAUUAUAAAUAAUUUGAUUUUAAAUUGAGACUACUUAUUUGACAGUUAAAAAAGAUUGAUAUCAUAAAGCAAUUGAUGGUUGAUUUUCCAUUGUAAAUUAAGGUUCAUUGUGUAAAAAGUGGAACAAAUAUAUAGAUAAAAUUGAACAAAUUCUAUAAGUAUACUUAUUUACAUAAUCACAAAGCAUAGGAAUUAGAAUUAGAGUCUAUUUUUUGAAAAGACUAUUUUAACAUUUGGCUUAAACCAUUCUUUGAAAUAUAAUAUCUAAUAUAGCUUUUUUUUUUUAAAAAAAAGUGAUGCUACAAAAUCGUAUAAACAUGUCAUUCUUAUCUUAUAGUUGCACACUAGAUAUUCCUAAUCGAGGCAUACCUAAAGAAAUACGUUGUUGACUUCUCUAAUAUCCUAUGUUGACUUUUAUUUAUCAAUUUGGAAUCUGUUAAUUGAUUGGAGACUUAGGUAGUGUUUGUUUUUUCUUAUUCAAAUCAAAAUAGGACUUAAUAUAUUCUAAUAAUAUUGAAUAUUAAGUAUUAAGUUAUUUGUUUUUUCUUAUUUUAUUUUUAUUAAGCAUUAAGUAUUAAUAUGUUAAGGGUCAUAUUGAGAUUAUGUUUUGGUUAUUUCAAUAAGUUAUUUUUAGCAUUCUAUAAAAAGUUAAAUAUUUUAUUUUUUUUAUAAGUUGAUUUUUUUUUAAAAGAAGUAAUAAAUAAAAUAUUAAAACAAAUAAUCUAUAGACUAAAAACAAAUUAAAUUAAAAAAACAAACACCACCUUAAUUCUUAUAAAUAAAUGUGGGUUAUCACAAAAAUUCUAUAUCCACAUACUAAGAUCAAUUUAGAUAUACUUUACCCUUUGUUAUUUAUGUAGUGUUUGUUUGGAUAGAUUUUUUAAUUUUUAUUUGUAAAAUCAGAAACUUCUGUAUGAAGAUAGAACAUCUUAUACUAUAUAUAUAUAUAUAUAUAUAUAUAUAUAUUUUUUUUUUUUUUUCCCUCUUGCAUUUUACAAAAUCGAGGUAAUAAUAUUUUUUUUUUGGUAACUUAAUUUUUUAAAAUAGUUUUCAAGCUAUUACAUUUUUCAAGUAAGUUUAUAAAUUUUUUAUAUUUUAUAUAAAAAUUAUUAUUAUUAUUUUAAUUAAAAACACACCACAAAACACAAAACAUGAAAUUUAUCCAAACACAGCCUUUUUUUUUUGUUUAAUUUUUUUUUUCUUACUUUCCAUAUGGUUUGAGAUAAAGCCUCUUAAUAUUGUAAGAGCAACCAAACUAGCCUUAAAGGGCGGCUCCAACCGGUACCUUCACCUUCACCUUCACCUCGAUAGGAUUUAAGGCUCUUCUAAAACCCUAGAUAUCGCAGAGCCUCCAAACAUACUGGGAAAGAUGAGAAAUCAAUGGCGCUUGCUUCUACUCCGCACCCACUCUCGCUCGCCGCUCUCCAUUUCCCACAUUUUCUCGCAUUUUCCGGUAAAAUCUGAUCACUCUUCCCAAACACUCCGUUUCUUUUCUUCAUUUCUCCAGGGGCACUCUCAUCACUGCGUGAUUGAUUCCACUGAGUUAAGAAAUUUUAGUGGCCCUAGGUCUCGGAGCUUCUCUUCCGAUCUGGCCCUCGAAGACAAGGGUCUGGAUCACGUUGUUUUCACUGAUAUUUUCUCUAAACCGAAAGGUUUUGAUGAGAUUAAGAACGAAGUGGAGUCUAGUGAUAUUGUGGUCAGUCACGAGUUGGUGUUGAAGGUAUUGGAAAAUCUGGAAUCGAAUCCUGAAGUGGCGAGGAGUGUUUUUGAUUGGGUUCUGAGGGCUGAGAGUGAGAGAUUGAGCUCCAAGUCGUAUAAUUUGAUGUUGGGUAUUUUGGGUAGUAAUGGGUUUGUGAGUGAGUUCUGGGAUUUGGUUGAGGUUAUGAAGAAGAAAGGGUAUGGAGUGUCCAAGGCAGCUUAUGUGAAAGCAUUGGAAAAUUUUGAAAAAGAGGCGUUGGGGAGUGAUCUGGAAAAGUUGAGAGGGCUGUUUGCAUCGGGAUCUGUAGAUGAUUCCAUACAGAAGAUUUGCUCAAGGGUUAGUAAGAUAAUUAGAAGUGAGGUGUGGGGGGACAAUGUUGAAGGGCAAUUGCACAAUUUAAAAGUUACAUUUUCAGGUGACUUGGUUGCCAUGGUGUUGGAGAAUCUUGGAUUGGAGCCAAUGAAAGCAUUGAUAUUUUUUCGCUGGGUUGAGGAGAGUGACUUGGUCAAGCAUGAUAAGCAGACUUAUAAUGCUAUGCUGAGGGUUUUGGGUAGAGAGGAUUGCAUUGAGAGGUUCUGGAAGGUUGCUGAUGAAAUGAGGAAUGCUGGAUAUGAAAUGGAGGUGGCAACAUAUUUUAAAGUUGUAGGGAGGUUUUACAAGCGGAAAAUGAUAAAGGAAGUGGUGGAUUUAUAUGAAUUUGCAAUGAGUGGUGCAAACAAGCCUUCUAUGUAUGAUUGUACCUUUCUUUUACGGAAAAUAGUUGUGAGUAAGGUUUUAGACAUUAGUUUGUUUUCAAGAGUUGUGAGGACUUAUACAGAGGGUGGGAAUAUAUUGACAAAAUCUAUGCUUGAUGCAAUUCUCAAAUCUUUAACCAGUGUUGGUAGAUUUGGGGAGUGCAAUAAGCUCUUGAAAGCAAUGGAAGAAGGUGGGUAUGUAGUUGGUAGUGGCAUGCAGAAUAAAAUUGCCUUUGGGCUUAGCAGUGCUCGGAAAACAGAUGAAGCUAAUGAGUUUAUGAAUAAUAUGGAGGAUUCGGAUUGUCGUCCAAAUUACAGAACAUGGUCCUCUUUAAUUGAAGGAUACUGUGUAGCAGGGGAUCUUGAUAAAGCUUCUGAUUGUUUCCAAAAAAUGGUUGAAAAGGAGGGGGUUUCUUAUGCUGGUUAUGCUUUUGAAGUGUUGGUAAAUGCAUAUUGCUGUAAAGGCAGAUCUGUAGAUGCAUGUGGACUUCUUUGUGAUCUUGCCAGUAAAGAGAAGUUUAAACCUUGGCAUAGUACGUAUAAACUGUUGAUAAGCAAGUUGUUGGUCCAGGGGGGAUUUCAAGCAGCUUUGAAUCUUUUGGGUUUGAUGAAAGAUCAUGAGUUCCCACCUUUCUUAGACCCAUUCAUCGAGUAUGUUUCAAGAACUGGAACUGGUGAUGAUGCUAUUACUUUCCUGAGAGCCAUGACUGUGAAGAGGUUUCCAUCUACAUCCGUGUUCCUCCAGACGUUUGAGGCAUUUUUCAAGGCUGGAAGGCACAAUGAAGCACAAGAUUUCCUUUCCAAAUGCCCAGGCUACAUCCGUAACCAUGCUGAUGUUCUGAAUCUCUUUUAUACCAUGAAAUCUGGAGAAGCUGCCAUGGCUGCUUAGGUUUCAGUGGAGUGAAUCUCUUAUUGUAUUUUGUUAGAUUGAAGUAGUUUGGCAUUUCUUCAAAAUUUUCGGUAUAACAAUUUUCAGUGCUCCCCAUUUUAAAUUUGUUGACUGCUGGAGCAUGAGUAGCUUUUUUUUUGUCCAAUAAAAUCCAGGGUAGUACAUAGUACAUCUGAAUAGGACUUCUCUCAAGUUAUUUGUGGAGCACAUCUGUUGACAGGGAUUCAAGUAAACAUUAUUUGCAUAUUUACUCUCUGGAAACAGUUACUGUUUUUGCUCCCCAUUUUAAAUUUGUUGACUGCUGGAGCAUGAGUAGCUUUUUUUUUGUCCAAUAAAAUCCAGGGUAGUACAUAGUACAUCUGAAUACGACUUCUCUCAAGUUAUUUGUGGAGCACAUCUGUUGACAGGGAUUCAAGUAAACAUUAUUUGCAUAUUUACUCUCUGGAAACAGUUACUGUUUUUAGACUCAUUUAUGUUAUUCUGGCAUGAAAUUUUUGUUAUUGCAGUUUGAUUUUUAAUUUUAGAUUCAAGCAACUGAAGCUUCAAAGUGCUUGUUUAAGGUAGUAGCUUGCCUGGUAUCUGAACUAGAGAUUUUAAUGGACUUCUCAACUUAUGACUUUCAUUAGGGCAUCUCUCUCUCUCUCUCUCUCUCUCUCUCUCUCAUUUUUCUCAUCUGAUACUCCUUUAUGUGUGUGGGUUUAGGAGCCUGGGGGACCAUGAUCAAAUUAUUUCUUCUCAUCAGAUAUUCCUUUAUGUGUGGGUUUAGGAAUCUGGGGGACCAUGAUCAAAUUAUUUCUUCAGCCAAUUUUUUUCUUCUAAUUGUUUCUUAUCUUUGACCAGUUGUGUACUCUGUAAACCAACUAUUAUGUUCCAAAACUUUGUAGCUUGAGUGAUUGAAUUCACAAGGGUCUGUUAGAAUCAAAUUGUUGGAAAAAUGAAUUCUUGUGGCAACUGUAGUUUGUAUUUAGUGGUGGUUAUGAGGGUUUUUAAAUGCCUGUUGUGUUUUCAAGUAUGUGAUCUUCUAGAGGAUGAGAGAUCCAUCUUGAAAGUUGCAAGAGAAGAACAUACUGCAAAAGGUUAUAUUGCUAAGCACCAUAGUAUUAUUAUUGUUUUUGUUGUUGUGAUGAUUGCUAUUAUUUGUCACUAAGCACCAUCUGAUUGUCCCUUUGACUAUUCUAAAAGGAAUCCAUUUGUGAUAUUUAUUAUAUUUUUGAAAUGCUAAUAGCCUUUUAUCCUCUGGUAUGUUCACGUUCUCCUACUAGGCACAUGGUUUUGGUGUUGGAACUAGAUAGCAGUAUGGUUUGCUGUAUUUUCCAUUGCUUUGCUAUAUUGUUAUCAGUUGGUUUUACAUAUUAGACUCGUAAUAUGGAUCCGUUUAUUCUUGGACAUUGAUUUGUUGGAUCAGCUCAACUCAACAAAGCCUUGAUCCCCACAACUUGGUUUGGCUACAUGAUCUUUAGCCAUAGAAUUGCACUAAAGCUUAAGAAGGACCACAAUUCAACAACAUUUUUUUUUUGUUUUUUUUUGAUAGGUAAAGCACAAUUCAAGUACACAUGUAAUGUACAAGAGAACUCCAAAGGGAAAAGAGAAAUAAAAGGUAAAGGAGGAAAGAACACAAACAAGAAAACAGCACAGCAGUCCUCCCUGAGCUCUAUAGGUUACCCUCUCACUCAUCUUGUCAAAAAAGAAAAAAAAAAAUCCAAAUGAACUGCUAGGAUAUGAAAUAGAAGAGAACAUCUGUGAAGAAGGGUGUGCAAGUCUGUCUCUUUGAGCUUCCUCCCUGGAACGUCAACAUCCUUAUCUAUUCUGCUUUUGCUACAAACUCUUGAGUCACACAUUCCUUCUCUUGCUCCCCACAAACUUAUCAUGCCACAUUAGCCAAUAAUUGCUUCAUUGUCUUUGGGAAAUAAAUACUCAUUGAAUGCUAAAAUGGAGAGAAACAAAAACCAUGUCUUCCGUGCCAUUGGAAAAUAAAUCAAAAGUUGGUCCAUACUCUUCCCAUUUUUCUUGCAGAUUCACCCCAACAUGGGAUGAUUGUUCCUCUUCCAAGUGCUAAAUGGCUAAUAGUACAGAUUUUAGCCCCACUUGCUGAAAGAGUGCCACAUUCCAAGGAACUUUGGCUGGACUCUUCCCAUGACCAGCUCCUUUGGUGAUGGACUUGACUGAGAAUUUUUUGUAUAAUAUCAUCACUACUCAAACAUGCCUUCAAGCAAAAAAAACCUGUGAAACUGUCUAUUAAUUUCAACCUCAUGUAUAUCACGCCAGAAGGAUAACUUCUGACAUUUUACUCAGUAUUCACAAUGAAUUGACAAUGAGCACUAAACCAAACACAACUCCUCUUGUUACCCUUUCACAACCCCACCUAAUCACCCUGUCACCACCUUAUAAAGGCAGCGUCCUUCAUUUACCCCCUACUCAGUUUCUUCUAGUUACUUUCCUUUCCAAUAGCAAAAUUCUAUAACCCUUCAUCCAAAGGCCUUGUGUAUUAGAAAAAAGGGGAAAGAAAAUAUGUGAGUCCUUAUUCUCUGCCUUUCCAAAUAAACCUGUGAAACUUUAGAGAUUUAUUUUUAAUAUUAUUUACUUAUUUAUUUGGAAGCUCCAUUAUUUGUUUUUUGGAAGUUUGUUGCUUGACUGAGUCCUUAGUAAUUUGUUUAGUGGUUACAAGAAAGUAACUUUUUCUUUGCCUAGUUUAUAGGAGUUGAGGUUAAUGUCUUAGUGUGGUAGACUUAGUUGUUUUCUGUUCUACAUGUACUGCCUAUUUAUUUUUUUUUUUAACAUACAAACACACAAAAAGCAUAUAUUAGAAAAUGGCACCUUGAGGCUAACCCAAAAGCAUAUAGGGAGUAUACAAGAGGCGCCAAAGGGCACAAAAAGAAGAAGAAAUACAAAACCAGCCCUCAACUAGCACCUAGCCAAUAAAAAAAACCGAGUAAAGGGAGAGGACCAUCAUUUACAACCGACUUAGUCCACAACCAAAGGUUACAUACAAAAGAAUUUUUCAACCUAUGAAUUGAAAGCUCCUCAUUAUCAAAAGCAAUCCUAUUUCUUUCCUUCCAAACCGCCCAAAAAAUACACAAAGGGGCUGCCUUCCACACCUUUCUGCGCUUUUUGUCCAAGUUAAAGCCACACCAACCACUAAGGGUAUCUCUAACCGAAAAAGGAAGGACCCAAGUAACACCAAAAAGAGCAAACAAUAACUCCCAUAACACUCUUGCCCCGGAGCACUGAAUAAGAAUAUGAUCAAUUGACUAUUCUUCCUCAUAGCAAAGGAAACAUCUGUUAGCUAGAAACCAACCCCUCUUUUUGAGUUGAUCCAAAGUUAGCACCUUACCCCUAGAAGCUUCCCAAGCAAAGAAACACACUUUAGUAGGCACACAAGGAUUCCAAAUAAUGCUGAUAGGGAACUGGACAACUCUUCUUGAAACUAGAGUACUAUAAAGAGAUUUAACUGAGAAAAUCCCAUCCUUAGUCUCUUUCCACAACAUUCUAUCUUCCAUAAGAGGAUUAAGCCUCCUACCCCGGAUUGUCAAAAGUAAUCUCUCCACCUCAUCCACCUCCCAGUCAUUAAAGGGCCUAGAGAAGCUAGGACUCCAAACCCCUUCUUCUCCCAAAUGAUCCCACAACUCCUCUAACCAAGCCUCUUUAUAUGAUGCAAAGGCAUACAAAGAUGGGAAGGAAUUACAGAGAGUGAAAUUCCCACACCAAUUAUCUUUCCAAAAUUUCACCCUUCUACCAUUCCCCAUAGAAAAGACCACUUUGUUUUGCAAAAGAGCGCCUUCUUUCCUUAUGUCCUUCCAAAAGCCUACUCUAAAACUCUCCCUAACAUCUCUAGUAUACCAACCCCCUUCUUCCUCCCCGAAAUUCCUACUAAUGAUGCACCUCCAAAGAGUUUCCCUUUCAUUCGCAAAGCGCCAGUUCCACUUACAUAAAAAGGCCUUAUUGAGAGUAGACAAACAUCUAACUCCCAAACCAUCCUUCCUUUUAUCCAAACACACAGAAUCCCAUUUUACAAGAUGAGGCUUCCUCUCCAAAGCUCCCCCUUCCCACAAAAAAUCCCUUUGAAUUUUUUCUAGUCUUAAACUAACCACUCUAGGUAUUCGUAGUAAAGACAUAAAGUAUAUAGGCAUACUUGACAAGGUGCUACGAAUUAGAGUAAUUCUCCCGCCUUUGGAGAUAAAUUGCCUUUUCCACAUGGCAAACAUUUUCUAAAAUCUCUCUUCCACCCCAUCCCAAACAGCCAUGGACUUGUGAAUCGCCCCCAAAGGGAUCCCCAAGUAAGAAGUUGGUAGCCUUCCCACUUUAUAACCAACCUCAAGAGCCAAAACCUUCACAUUCUCUAAUCUCCCAACCGGCAAGAUUUCGCUCUUAUCCAAAUUGAUUCUCAAACCUGAUAUGGCUUCAAACCAAAUCAACAACCAGCUUAAAUAAGCCAUCGGGUCUUGGGAUGCAUCACAAAAAACUAAAGUAUCGUCAGCAAACAACAAAUGAGAUACCAAAGCCCCGUAUCUGCUUCUUCCUUUUAUCCUGCAGCUUGAAAGAAACCCCCCUCUUACUACCCUAAGGAUGAGCCUACUAAAGGCCUCCAUCCUAAUUACAAAAAGAUAGGGAGAAAGUGGAUCCCCCUGAUGCAAUCCCCUUGAAUUGUUGAAGAAACCGGUUGGAGUGCCAUUGAUUAAAAUAGAAAAUGUUGUUGUGGAAAUGCAUUAGGAUAUCCAACCAGUCCACUUCUCCCCGAAACCCAUUCUUUGCAAUACCAACAACAAGAAAUUUCAGUUUAGGUGAUCGUAAGCCUUCUCUAUAUCCAGCUUGCACAACACCCCACUCUCAUAUCUUUUCAGCAUCGAGUCUAUUGCCUCAUGGGCAAUUAGGGCAGCAUCAAGAAUCUGUCUUCCUUCAACGAAAGCAUUUUGAGCUGAAGACACCACCUUUCCCACAACCUUCUUAAGCCUAUUAGCUAACACUUUUGCUAACAGUUUAUACAACCCCCCUACCAAACUAAUCGGUCUAAAAUCUCUAAGGUCCUUCGCACCCGCCUUUUUAGGGAUAAGGACCAAGAAAAUUGAGUUCAGACUCCUUACGAAUCUACCAUGCUCGUGGAAUUCCUUCAAAAAGCCCAUAACCUCUUCUUUCAUAAAAUCCUAGCUAAACUGCCAAAAGCUGAGAGAGAAACCGUCUGGACCAGGAGCCUUGUCCCCGUUUAGAUUUGAGAGGGUAAAGAAGACCUCUUCCUCUGUAAAAGCCUUCUCCAAUCUAGCUGCAUCCUCACCAUCAAUCCUAUUAAAAUCCGACCCUUCCAUAGAUGGGUGCCAUUCACCAGGAUCUGUCAGAAGGUUCUUAAAGGCUCCAACCACCCCCCACCCUCUUAAUUUCCUGCUCCUCUGUUAACCAGGUUCCAUUAACCUUUAUUUUAGACAAACAAUUUUUCCUUCUUUGGGAGUUGGCCAUCUUAUGAAAGAAACCAGUAUUUCUGUCACCCUCUCUCAAUCACACUUCUCUUGAUUUUUGUCUCCAAGAAAUCUCCUCCAUGAGAGCCCAUUUCUCAAAAUCCCCCUUCGCUUCCUUUCUAGCUUCCAUCUCCUCCAUAGAUAAAAGACGUAUCUUCUCCUGAGUAUCCCAAAAAGCCACUUUGUCUAAGGCCAAUCUCUUAUUCACUCACACCUUCCAAAAAGCAUCCUUGUUCCAAGUUUUGAAGAUGACCUUCAGAGCCUUUAAUUUCUCCGCAAGAAUGAAACUGAAGGAACCACUGAAUCUUAAACCUUGCCACCACCCCUUCAGCAAAUCCUUAAAACCCUCAUCCUUAAGCCACAUAUUUUCAAACCGGAAGGGGACAAACCCCCUCCUCACCCCUCCCCCAUCCAAUAGGAUGGGAAAAUGAUCUGACAUUGGCCUAGGAAGAGUACUUUGCCCCACCCCAUUAAAAUAGCCUUCCCAGUCCUCCAACACCAAAAAUCGAUCAAGUCUUGACAUGGUUUGACUGUUCAACCCUCCACUCCAGGUAAACGGACCCCCCUGAAGAGGGAUAUCCCUCAAGUCCAAGUCAUCGAUCACCUCCGAGAAUCUUCUCAUUAAAGAAGACACCCUGCCUUCUCUUCUACGCUCAUUCGGAAACCUGAUCAUAUUAAAAUCUCCUCCAAUACACCAUGGAUCAUUUCAAAGCCCGCGGAUGGCCCCUAAUUCUUCCCAAAAAAAAUUCUCUAUAUCUUCUCAAAGUAGGACCAUACACUCCUGAAAAAGUCCAUCUGAAUUCAUCUUCAACAUUCUUAAAACGACAAUAAAUGGAAAAAAGACCCACCUCUAUCCCCAUUAGCUCUAACACUCUAUUAUCCCAUAAAACUACCACCCCUCCAGUUGCACCCCUGGCAUUCAAAGCUCCCCACUCCAAAAAUCUCCCCACCCCUAGGCUUCGUACCACCCCUAAAGACAUCUCAGUCAUUUUAGUCUCCUGAAGGCAAACUGAAUCUACUUUUUGGGAUCUAAUUAAGACUUUAAUUAAUUUCCUCUUACUUCUGUCAUUCACCCCUCGAACAUUCCAAGAUAAAAUUUUAAUCUUCAUUUAAAACACAAAGCUUUGUCCCCUCAUCUUCUGUUUGACCCUUUCUUUCUGCUCUCUCCAUUGUAAUUAAUCGAACAUUCUAACUUUUUUACUUCCCGAUCAAACCUAGUCAAUCCUAGAGUUCCUUUUUUCUUGCCUUGAUUUCUUCUGGUUUUCAAUCUUAGCAGCAAUUUUUGGAUUUCCACUUCAACGCCUUCUGUUGAAAACCCCAACGACUUGCAGAAUUUCAUCAAACUACUUUCAUCCCACUUACUACCAGGAAUCUCCCUUUCUUGCAUUUCCUCAACAGCAUCUGACUUAUUACCCCUAGACUUUUCCUUCUUCGAGUCCAUCACCCACGGACUACCAUCAUUCAACAUUGCGCACAACGGAGCUUGAAAACCAACACCUUCAACAGUCUCAUCCAAACCCGAAGGGCCCUUCACCACCAAAGCCCGAUCACACCCAGAAGAAGAAGUAGAAGAGAAGAAGUCCCGGACCCCCCCAAAGUCAGCGAGAUAUGGCUCGUACUUGGAUGCCUUGGCUGUCAGCACUUUGUCAGUUAUCAACGCUCUAGCUUUCGUCGGAAAAGCCUUUGAAAACCUCUAAUCCCCUCCGUGACAGCAGGCGACCCCCGCGUCCUCUCUAACACGAGCCCGCGAAUCCUCCUCUAUAGGCCUAGCUUCCAUCUCCGCUUCCUCAGAAAGGGAAUGAGCCCUAACUCCUUUUAUCCUCUCUAUCACAUGUCUAAAGCCCAUUUCGGACAUACCCUCAUAGCCCACAAACGAGCCCUUGAUGUAAAAAGGCCUCUCUUCACAGCCCAACUGCCAACCUUUUAAAAUAAUGGGCCUUACAUCCACCGGCCCAUGCACUUGGGCUACCUCAUAGGUUGACUUAUAACUUUCCCCCCCAAGCCCGCUUCUAAACUGGGCCUCCCCAAGAACAGGCCCAACUUUAGGAACAAUGGGCCCCAACCCAAAUCCACCCCCUUUGACCACUUUUCCUGCGCUUUGACCCCUAUUCCCUAGCCUAUCCUCUCCAUCAGUUGCCUCCAUACUAGGCCCCCUUUCAGCGGGGUCUAAGGAGAAAACUGUAGCUCGUUUUGAGGAGCUUCCACAGAACGGCUCACCCUGUACUCCAACCUGCACCAUGAGCUGCGCCUCAUUUUCCAACACACUUCCUCUGCACACGGCACGUGAUCCACUCCCUGUUUCUUCUUCAUCCUCUAUAUCACCCUUCUCAUACACACUUCCCGCCGGUACCACCUGAGAAAACCAAGGUGGGGUUUCCCACCACAGCUGGAUUGAAAAACACCUCGACCCCACCACCAACUGGACGAAGGUAGGUAAAUCCCUGCCGACCACUUUCACCAACAAUCUAGCCCAUUGCAAUUCGGCCAUAAAAUCCGUAUUUUUGUCCACUGCAAUGAGACCACCACAACCAUCCCCUAUCAAUUUAAACACCUCGCGGCUCCAUAGAUGAAGAGGAAGACUCACCACUCUCACCCAAGCCUUGUUAGCAUUGGCUCCAUUACAAAAACACCUUACCUUUGGGUGCCAUUUUUCCAAAAAUAAGACAUUGUCUUUCACCCUUCUCUUCUCUCUCAACAAAACACGCUCGGCUUCACUUAACAAUUCAAACUCAAAGAGCAAAACCCUCUUCCUAAAACAACUAUGUUCAACUUUCCUUUGAGGAGCCAAGCGUGACCAGCCCAAUGUUUCAGAAAAUCCAACUCGGGGGGUGGGUUCGCACCAUUUUCCCAUCUACCCACUAAACAGCGAUCCAACUGCUCAAGUCUUUUUGGUUUCACUCUCCUUCCCAAUUCCAACCAGACCUUAUCUCCUAAUCUAUUCGUUUUCGAUUUUGCUACAUCCGCAUAGGUCCUUGGUUCUAGUUCAUUUUCCUUUUUCAGCACCUCAAUAGAUAGAGGAUUCUUUAAGCCUCCAAUGGGAACUACCCCAACCUCUCUCAACUUCUCUGCCAAAAUAUUCCACCCUCCAAACAACCCCUUCCUUUCUGGAAAAAUUAAAUAAAAACGUUUUGCCUCUAAAUCACGAACAGAGAAAAUGAGAAAUUUUCCCGCCUCAUUUGAACGACGCUCCAACCUGUACUUCCUUCCCUCCUCCUCCUAGACGAGGGACCAACCUCUAUCAUCUUUACCUCUGCAACAAGUCCCAAUUCCAGCCAGCAACCUACUAAGACUUACAUCCCCAAAUCUGAUCCAAGAUGUUAUUCCUUUGCAUCUCUCCCAAAUGCACCCUCUCAACUUACCUCCUACUUCAUCAAUCAAGAUCUCAAAAGAUUUUGACUCCAUAGCAAACCAACUUCUUCCACCCAUAGGAACUUCCUUCAUUCUUCUUGCCUAUUUAUAGGCCAUUAUUUUAUCAGAUGAAUAACAGAGAGAGUUUUACAAAUUGCAUACAUAUCCUUUUCUUUUUACUUUGUAUCAACUCUCUGUUAAGUUCCCCUCCCAACCUCAUGUAUAUCAUGCCAGAAGGAUAACUUCUGAAAUUUUACUCAUUACCCAUGAUGAAUGGACAAUGAGUACUAAACUGAACACUACUCCUCUUGUUACCCUUCCACAGCCCCACCUAAUCAUCCCGUCACCUCCAUAUGAAGCCAAUAUCCAACACUUACCCCAUACUCAGAGAACCUGACUUUCUUCUAGUUUCUUUCCUUUCCAAUAACAAACUUCCAUAUCCAUGUACCCAGCCAAGCCACACAUUCAUGCAUACCCAUAUGACAAACCAUUUCUUUCUUCACAACCCCAACCCAUGUUCUUUUUGAACUUAAUGCUCAUUUAGGGUAGUUGUUAACUUUUGCUGUUUGCUUUGCGAAUUGUGUUUUAAAAGUGCCUUCAUGGAAAAUAAGGGCAAUCUCAACCUUUUUGAGCAAAUGCAAGAGCCUUUGUGCUUUUCCAAAAGGGAAACUUGUGUUUUGAUGGGGUCAUUUGGGAAAUAUAUGGUUUUCGGAAUCCAACUUUAUGAAAUUUGAAAACUAGCUUUUAAUGUGGAAAGUUAUAUAUUUUUCAUGCACUCUGAGCCGACUGCAUAUUUUGUGCCAAGAUUGUCCCCAAAUCUAGUGAUUUUCCAAAAUUAUCCUUUUUGUUCAUUUUUUUUCUUUUCGUACCCACCGUCCGCCUCUCACUCCUUCCCUAGUGAAACUGGUUGGCACUUUGCUGGUGUCAUCACCGGCCGUCACUACUCUCUUCUCUUUUCUCUCUGCUUCUUCACACUCUACACAAAUCUCCAACAUUCUACACAAAUCUCCACCACUCUCCACCUACUCUCUAUCUGUCUCCAAUAUUCAAAGCCCACAUGGAAUCCAGGUGUUUUUGGGUACUUAGACAAUGUUGAAUGCCACCCAAAACGCUUGUUUUUCUUUUAGGAGUUCUUUUUCUCUCUAAUUCCCUCUAACUAUCUAUCAAUUGAAUAAUCGAAGACAGAUGGUAGCGUAGGAGAAUUGGCAUGAUUGAGUACAUUGCAAUCACCGAACUGCUUUCGAACCUUCAAGCUUGAAGGUGUAAAGGAAAGCAUAAAAUCUUAAUUGCCUUUUUGUACCGAGGUUACAGUGGGAAAAAAGGGCUAGUUCAGUUUGAAAUCGACGAUUUGUUCUGUUAAGAGAGGAGAGGAGGGAAGCAAGGAAUUGAUGCAAGAGAAUGCCCUGCGUCUUUAAUUUAAAAUAGGCAUUUAUUAGCAGUCGAGUAUAGCAUUCGAGCAUCACAUCUCGAAGCUUUUCUUCUGGGAUUUCUUGAUUUUGUUUUUUCAGGUUUUUUCAGCUAUGGCCUUUUCUGGGUUUUGGGUUUGGUUGUAGUUGUGUUUUUGUGGGGGGAAAUGUGACUUAUACUGAUGAUGGUGGUUGCAUUUCUGAAGCAGCUUCGACCAACCCACCAAACCCCAAGGCCUAUUCUCACACCCACGAUACCCAUCUUCGGAAUCCAACUAGACCUCCACUUUUGCCUUUUAAGAAGGACAAUGGCCUUGUUCCUAAACGAACCAAAUCGAGACAGGUCUCUUCUAGAUACAUGUCCCCAUUUCCCUCCACCUCCGCUUCUAUGCCUAGGCACUGCUCUUCGCUGCUCCACGAAUUCCUCUGCCUCAUCAACGCCAUUGUCGCGCCGUUGCUCACAUCUCUCUCCGGCCGACAACCUCCUCCUCUCUCCCUUUCCUUUUCCUAUUUCUCUCUCUUGGUGAUGUCGAAAGGGAAGGAAAGAGAGAAAGAGGGAAGAGAAAGGGAGAGAGAGGGAGAUUGUCGACUAGAGAGAGGUGUGAGUGGCGACCGGUUUCACUGAGAAGGGAGGGAGAGGCGGAUGGUGGGUAUGGGAGGAAAAAAAAAAAGAACAAAAAUGAUAAUUUUGGAAAAUAACUAGACCCGGGGGCAAUCUCGGCACAAAAUAUGCAGUCGGCUCAGAGUGCAUGAAAAAUAUAUAACUUUCCACAUUAAAAGUUGAUUUUCAGAUUUCAUAAAAUUGGGUUUUGAAAACCAUAUAUUUCCCAAAUGGUCCCAUCAAAACACAAGUUUCCCUUUCCAAAAUGUGGACAAAUCAUGUUGGGCUAUGUGGGGCCCACAUAUGAAAGUUUCAUUCAAACAACCUUAAAAGGUGCUUUUGGGGAUUCAAAAAUACUUCUUUUAGCAUUUAUAAGCUUUCCCAAACAUGGCUUUGCUUACUCCUUCCACCUCUUUCAAUUGAAGCUAGUCACUUCUCUACCUAGGGUUCAAAAUCUCGGUUGAGAUUGGUACAACUCGGCCAUGCUCGGUAUCGGACUGAUAACCAAAUCAAAGUUGGUGGAGAAAAUCAAAAACCACAAAAUGAAGAAAUUUGGAAGGACAAUUCAGAGCCUUUGUCUCGAUUUGCAUCUUCAUCCUUCAAACCUAAACUUUUGCAUCUCGUAUGGUUGAUUUAUCUUUGAUUUAAUGCCUUCAAACCUUCGACACUAGCUCCGAGAUGAUGUGAGAAGUUUUUGUUGAGAUGUGAAAUGGGUAUUUUUUUAGAAAAAUGGGUAUGUUAGCAAAUAAAUGGGUAUAGUGGGAAGAUGUCUUGAGAAGCAAAGAAGAUGAAAGGGGUAUUUUAUAGAAAUGGGUCUCUUUUAGAGAUAUGGAAGGGAGCAUUUCAUAGAGAAAUCGGUCUGUUGCAGUCUUGCAAAGAUAUGAGAGUGAGCUUUGUGAUAAAAAAUGAGAGAGAAAUGGGUGUAUUCUAGAGUGGUGGGAGAGAGGACCAAAAUGGGAGAGAGGGGCUUUUGAUAGGAUACGUGGGAUUAUAUUUAUGAUUAUAAAUAUUUAAAUUGAAUAUAAAUAUUAAUAUACAAAUUUAAAAUUAAUGUAUAGAAUCACUAAAUAUGUAUAUACAUAUUUAAAAUUUCUUUAUUUAAAUUAAUAAAAAAUCUUGUUGUUUUUUAUAAUAGUUUUAUUUACAAUACAUUUGAAAAAUGAUAUUUAUAUUUUUAAAAGUGAUUCAUGAUUAUUUUUUUAUGGUUGAAAAUAUUUUUAAAUAAAAUUUAAACUAUUUAAUUCAAACAAAUUCGUUAUAAAAAUAUUUUUUACUAUUUUUAUCUAAUAUUUAAUGCAAGGUAAUAAAUAAUUUUUUUUUUAAAAAAAUCUAUUCCAUAAUAUUCUUUAUGUAUAUUUAUUAAUUUUUAGUCUAUUUGAUUGUAUUUAUUUUUGUGAUUUUUUAAAAAAAAUUCUAUUAAAAUUUUUAGAGUUAUUAAAUUAAUAUGUUUUGUGUAUCGUCUGAUACUAAUCCGAGAUACUGAGACCAAUAUGUCUCAAGACCCUUCGAGUCAAUGUCCGAUACCACAACUUUGAACCAUGUCUCUUUAAGUGGCGCCAGCUUUGGACUUGCUACACAAGUGUGGACCGUGUUGAACAGGAUCUCUUUUGCUUGCCCUCAGAGAAUGCAACUUUCUAACUUGUAAUGAGUGCAUGCAGUUCUUAGUACUUAUAUCCUUCUCUCGACUAAUAUUCAUUAUUUUUUAGACAUGAGCAACCUCUUGAGGCUUGGCUCAAGUGUUAAGGGUUUUUGUCCCCAUUGGGAUUUGAACCUAGAACCUCCCACACACCCUCCCAUCCCUUUACCACUUGAGCCAGACCUCAAGGGCUAUAUAUAUAUAUAUAUAUUGGAUGUGAGCAAUAGUUACCAAUGAUAUUUUAGGUUUGUACCGAGUCAGCAUACUUUUUAACAGGUCAAUAUUUCAACUUUGUGGUGUUUAUUUGGUUUAUUUAUGUUACUUCAUUUGAUUGUAUGGAGGUUUGAAACCUAUGGGGUGGAUUUGAAUAGGAGUACUGUUUUGAAUAGUUGAUAUGGGGAAUGACAUGAGGCCUGCAACAUGCACAAUAUGGAUGCUUAUCGUUAAUAUGGUACUUCUAGAGCACUGCUGUUGGUGCAUCAACAAUGAAUCACUUCUCUGUCAGACUGAAUAUGAAGUGAGGUUUAAGUGACAUUGUCUGGUGUUGGAUUUGUCAUAUCAAUUAGAGUUCUGUUUUUUUUCCUUUUGAUGUUUUUGUCAUUUUGUCUUUUUGUCAAAAAAGAAAAAAAAAAAAGGAAAAAGGAUGAGGUUGUUAACAUCACUACCUUGAAGAAGUAUGCACUACAGUUUGAAAUCUCUGGGGCAGAUUUUUAAUUGGAGUAUUUGUUUUGAAUGGUUGAUAUGUACUAAUGACAUAAGGAAUGCAAUAUGUAUGAUACUAAUGCUUAUUGAUUAUGUUAUAUUAUUGGACCACUGGCAAUACUGUAUCAAUGAUAUCAAGAUCUAUUGGAAUGUGUUUCGAAUUCCUAAUUAGUAUAUAUUCCUUUUUGUAAAGAGUAUUAUAUAGAAAAUUGUGAGGAAGAACGGGAGAUACCUGGUGGAUACAAAAAGUGGGGAAACAUGGGAUGUUUCGGGAACCCAAUAAUUGUAUCUAGUUAUUUUCUCUACAGUAUUCUUUAUUGUUUAGUAGAAUGAUUCUCUCUCAUCCACGAAUGUAGGUAUGGUUGGUUAAACCAUGUUAAAACCUUGUGCACCUUUAUUUUGAUUAUUUUAUCUUUGUAUUUUUGAACUAACAUGUUUGUAUUAAAACUUCCACUGGCAUAACAAGAUCAACUGAUGUACGAUUUUUGAGCUUUGGGCUCCUUUUUUGGGUCAGACAAAUGACAAAUCUGUCAAUGUUGCUGCCCUGAAGAACAUAUGCAUUACAAUUUUAUGUCAGUUAUGAAUUAGUGAAGAGUCUUAUGAACCUGUUAAUGGCCUGAAUAAGUUGGCCUCAACUUAUGCUGUUGUUUGUUUUCAUUUGGAUGAAUUCUUACAAGCUGCCAUGUGCAAUCCUCCAUCCCCUGUUAGCACUUUCAUAAGAAAGAAAUGAGUCUGUUGGUGGCCAUCCUUCCUUCCUAUUUUUUGGUGCCCCUCUCCCUCUCCUCUUCUCUACUUCUGCAGGAUGGCUGAGAGCUGAAUAUAAAUUAUGUGCUGCAUCUUGAUUUCUUUAUUGAGGUUAUGACUGUUGUACAAAGGUAAUAUGGAGAAAUCUGAACACAAAAGGUGUCCAUCAGUGUAGGAAUUUUAUUCACUGUUUCAUUCUUUUUAUAAUACUUGGCUUUUUUUUUCAGUUCUUAUGACUAUUUUUAUUUUCUUCAAAUGAUGAAAUUCAGGCCAUCAAUUGCUAACAGAUCUUCAUUUGUAUAUCCCAAAGACUACAUUGGGACUUCAUGAAUUAUUGGGACAUUUUCUACAAUAUUGUACCAUGUAAAGGAAAAGUGCUUUAGAAGCUUUGAAUGGUUGUUGGUUAGUCUAAAAAGGGGAAAUCCUCACAACAGUGUUGGUUCCAUGUAUUUUUAGUUCAGGGGCCUGGGCUUAAAAGAAGUGGUUUGAAUGUCAUCUUCUUGCAUUGUUUAUUAUUAUUAUUAUUAUUAUUUUUAACCAUUGUAAUAAUCUAAUCUUUCAACAGUGAGAAUUCAGUUAUGGACUGAGAAUUUUGCAUCUGCAUUAAAUUUAUGUUCCUUUGCUUUGAAGGAAUCAUACUUUUGCUUUGGUUGCUAAUUUUGUGGUGGCCAAUACAGAUUCCAUCUAAAGAUAUGAUUUAUGUUUUUGUGUGGACCUUUUUAGUUUGUACAUGUAACAAUUGAAGAAUCAUUUAGCUGGAAGCAGUUGGCUUGUCACAAUCAUUAGAUAAUGAUUUCUCCAGUUUCUUAAGUUAAUCUGCUAUCUUUAAGAACCGAUCAGUUCAUAUUACAACACAGAUGUUAUGUAUGUGUGGAUUGUGUGUAUAAAUGCAUGUAUAUCUAAUAUUUUAUAAACUAAUGCUUAUACAGCACAUCCAUAAUAAGGUGUCAUGUUAAUGAAGGUGCCAUGAGAGACCCAUAUGCUCUUCAUCUGUUGAUCAAAUACAUGAUGGAACAUGAAAUUUUGUAGGAAGAUUAUAUAGAAGGUUAAGAAGGAUCUACAUCUUGAUGGGUAAGACCGGUAAGUUUCAGAUGGAGGAAUUGUUGUAGUAUGUGGCUCAUAUUUAAGCGAAAAGGCAUAUGGAGAAAAAUGGGCAAAUGUUGGAGCGAAGUAAUGACAUUUGCCAUUCAGACUUGUACUUCUUUUGUUGUGGGGUGAAUGAUAGGUUGGGGUGUAUUGCUCCUGUGGUCCGAUUCAGGGGUAUUUUUGGAAUUUCAUUCAUAAGGGAUAGUAUAAAUACUUUUUUCAUAUAACCCUAAUUUUAACAUAAUGAAAAUCCUAUUUCCCUGAUCCCGUGGAUGUAGGCAGUUAGCCGAGUCACUUUAAAUCUCCGUGUUCUUUUUUCUAUUUUUCGUCAUUAAUCAUUGCACGAAUUCCAACAAGAAUAUAUGACAUUUAGCCUACAAUAAGAAUUACUGAAGUUGAUUUACAAUUAUUGACCUUAUUAUUUCUUUGCAGAGAAUGUGAAAUACAAUUGCAUUUUUUUUUCCUCUUAAAAUUAUUUUAUGGAUAUCUCAUUCAUUUUUCUUGCCCUUCUUUCGAUGUUCUUCAUUCUAUCACUUCUGUUGUGUCAUUGUCAUUGUUGUCACCUUCCCCUCAAUUUUUCAAUGAAGUUUUCUCUGAAAUUAUGUGCAGCUGCUUUUUCGGGGAAGAUGGCUUUGCUGGCAGCCAAUGGUUGAAUAUGACUCCUCAAUGGGCAAAAUGCGAUGAGUGUGACCAAACAAUUGAUCCGAAGUUCGUUCUUUCUCUUCACUAUAUUAUUUGUGCAUUGAAUUUUGUAAGGUGAAUUAAAUGCGAACGUUUUUUCCCUGGAGCUUCUUGUUUGACAUCUUCAAUACCAGUGGGAAUUUUUGGAAUCGAAGUAAGAGUAGAGAGGACCACUGAUGUUAUUGUGUGGUCAGUAGGACAAAUUGUCAUCAACUCUUGAUGAUUAGCUCUUUUACUUACUGGGUAUAUCUGUUCAUAGAAGCUGAGUACAGAGGGGGGACCAAAAAUAGGAGCCAAACUCACAGUCAUAUAUAUAUAUAUAUAUCUAUCACGGAUAUCAAACUAAAACUGCCAUUUCUGUG